GUGGGAUGAUGUUGCACUCAUCAGUCAAUUUCUUUAUGGAUUGCAAUACGAAGUAAAGAAAUUGAUGCUCAACUUACCUGAUCCUCAAACUUUGAGUCAAGCAAUCGAUUUUGCGGUAAAAUGUGAUAAUCGACUUUUUGAAUUUCGAUCUGAGAAUCAUUCACGGGAACCUCAAUUUUAUUACUCAAUGGCAACAUCAACAUCUUUGCCAAACGUACAUUCGAAAGUAGAAGACAUGCAAAUUGACGUGGUACGUUUUAAACCUCUAACUGAGCAAGAAAAGAUUCGUCGUCGUCAAGAAGGAUUAUGUUUAUAUUGCGGAGAACCUAAGCACACUGCUCAACAUUGUCCAAAGAAACGACGCAACUAUAAAAUGAGGGGUACGACGGUCAAAGAAGACAACAUGUCGGAAAACGGAUUCGUCCAGCUACAAUAGGGACCGUGCAGCUGGAACCUUGUACAAUUCCUAAUGAAGGUCCUAUCCUCUCCUCAGAACCCUCUCCUUGUUUUAUAAUAGACUUAUAUUUAGGACCUAAGAAUUACAAAGCCUCUGCUUUAUUAGAUUCGGGAGCCUCAGCAUGUUUUUUAGAUGAACAAUUUGUUAAAAGUCGUAAAAUACCCUUUGUACAGAAACCUAAACCAGUACAUGUAGAAGUCAUAGAUGGUCGUCCCUUGUCUUCUGGAGAUGUCACUCAUGAAACUCAUCCUAUAAAAGUAACAAUAGACGGUCAUGAUAGCUACAUAGCUUUUAACAUAAUUAAAUCCCCGUCCAAUCCAGUUAUUUUAGGUUUAUCCUGGCUAGAAAAAUAUAACCCUCGAAUAGAUUGGAAUUCGCGUAAACUUGACUUUUCCAAAAGCGUUAUUAAUAGUUCUACGAACCAAGUAAAAAAUUAUAAGUCUAGUAUAGUAAAACCCGUACUGAUAGGUGCAAAAGCAUUUAUACACGCAGCAAAAGAAGGAUCAACUUUUGCUAUUUAUGCUGCACCUAUUUCUGAAAACGUAAAGACUUCAAGUGGCAUUCUAAGUCAAUAUCAGGAGUAUCAAGACGUUUUUGAGAAAAAGAAUGCAGAUAUUCUUCCUGAGCAUCGUCCAUAUGAUUGUUCAAUCAACCUCAAGGAAGGAACUCAGCCACCAUUUGGACCAAUUUACAGUUUAUCGCAAGAUGAGAUGGCUGAACUCAAGACAUAUAUUGACGAGAAUUUAGCGAAGAAUUUCAUACGCCAUUCAAAAUCUCCAGCAGGAGCUCCAAUUCUAUUCGUAAAGAAAAAAGAUGGAUCUUUACGAAUGUGUGUUGAUUAUCGAGGACUCAACAAGAUCACAAUCAAGAACAGGUAUCCAUUACCUUUGAUAUCAGGACUCCUUGACCAGUUGAAUCAAGCUAAGAUCUAUACAAAAAUAGAUCUAAGAGGAGCAUAUAAUCUAGUACGGAUCAAAGAAAGAGAUGAAUGGAAGACUGCGUUUCGAACCAAGUAUGGACAUUUCGAAUGUAAUGUCAUGCCCUUUGGACUCACGAAUGCACCAGCUGCUUUUCAACAUCUCAUGAAUGAUAUAUUUCGUGAAUUCUUAGACAAUUUUGUCGUCUGCUAUCUAGACGAUAUCCUGAUCUAUUCUAAGAACGUCGAAGAACAUGAAAUACAUGUUCGUCAAGUAUUACAAAAACUUAGAGAUGCAGGAUUGUACGCCAAGAUGGAAAAGUGUGUAUUUCACACUACUCAAGUUGACUUUUUAGGAUACACCAUUUCAAAUGAUGGUCUCAUGAUGGAUUCUAAGAAAGUCCAAACAAUCGUGGAUUGGAAGAUUCCAAGGACGGUAAGAGAUGUCCAAUGUUUCUUGGGAUUUGCCAAUUACUAUCGGAUCUUCAUCAAAGAUUUCUCACGAGUUGUAGCUCCACUUACACGCUUGACUAGUAAAGAUAAAUUUCAAUGGAAUCAAGAAGCGGAAGCAGCAUUUGAAGCCUUGAAGACAUCGUUUGUCUCUGCACCAGUCUUAUAUCGUGUUGACUUUUCCAAGGCAUUUUUUAUGGAAAUAGAUGCAUCAGAUUUUGGCUUGGGUGCAGUUUUAUCACAAAUGGGAACAGAUGACAAACUCCAUCCGAUAGCUUUUCAUUCAAGAAAAUUCUCAGCAGCCGAGAUCAAUUAUGAGAUCCACGAUAAAGAACUUCUUGCGAUCGUGGAUUCCUUUCAAGAAUGGCGUCAUUAUCUAGAAGGUGCUUCUAGUCCAGUCACUGUGUAUACAGAUCACAAGAACCUCAAGUAUUUCAUGUCAGCACGCGUGUUGAAUCGUCGUCAAGCUCGUUGGAGUAUGUCUUUGUCAAGAUUCGAGUUCAUUAUCACUUAUCGGCCAAGAAAACAACAAGGUUUAUCCGAUGCCCUAUCUAGACGUUCUUAUUUUGCACCAAAAGAAGGAGAUGUAGCUUUUGAGCAACAAAGAACGGUCCUCUUGAAACCAGGGCAAUUUCAUCUCCGAGCAAUGAAAUCAACAUUGACUGUUGAUUCAACUUUUCUCAAGCAAAUCCAGUCCAGUAUGUCCUCAUACCCUCUUAUUUAUGAUAUCGAGAAUAAUUCUUCCAAGUCUCAUGAUCCUUCUAAGUUUGAGUUCAAGAAUAAUCUAUUAUAUUUUGAAGGACGCCUAUAUGUUCCAGAAGGAGAAGCACGUUUACGUGUUCUUCAAGCACGUCAUGACUUUCCAGCAGCAGGGCACUUUGGAUAUAAUAAGACUUUAGAACUCAUAUCAAGAGAUUUUUGGUGGCCACAAAUGUGGAAGUCAGUCAAAGACUUUGUACAAUCAUGUGAUAUUUGUUCAAGAUCAAAAAUUCCUCGUCAUCGACCUUACGGACUUCUUCAGCCAUUACCUAUACCAAAACAACCAUGGUCUUCUGUUUCUAUGGAUUUCAUCACAGAUCUUCCAAGCUCAAGAUCUUAUGAUUCUAUAUUUGUGAUAGUAGAUCGUUUCACCAAGAUGGCACAUUUUGUGCCAUGUACAAAAUCUAUCACAGGUGAAGAAACAGCUAAGCUUUUCAUUGAUAAUAUCUAUCGCUAUCAUGGAUUACCUAAAGAUAUCAUAUCGGAUAGGGGAACUCAAUUUGUGUCAAGAUUUUGGAGGACCCUUUUGAAGAUUUUAAAAGUGGACAUAAAGCUAUCUUCGGCUUUCCAUCCUCAAACUGAUGGACAAACAGAGCGCGUAAACCAAGUCUUGGAGCAAUAUUUAAGGUGUACUAUCAACUACCAACAAGAUGAUUGGACAACCCUUCUGCCAUUGGCAGAGUUUGCUUAUAAUAAUACGGUACAUUCUUCCACGCAACAAACACCUUUCUUUACCAAUUAUGGCUAUCAUCCACGACUUGAUACUUUUGAUUUUUCAAAAGUUGAUAAUCCUGUAGCAGAAGAUAUGGCAAAUCGGUUGUCAGAGUUACAUGCAAUAAUGAAGACACAAUUGAAGGAAGCUCAAGAACGACAAAAGAUAAACGCAGAUCUAUAUCGUAAGGAGCAACCACAAAUCAACGUGGGUGAUAAGGUAUGGCUACUUCGUCGCAAUAUCAAGACUACUCGACCUUGUGACAAGUUGGACUAUUGUAGGCUUGGCCCCUUUUCUGUUUCUGAACAGAUCAACCCAGUUGCAUAUCGGUUACAUCUACCGGAGUCAAUGAAGAUCCAUCCUAUAUUCCACGUAUCUCUUCUUGAACCAUAUAAGACAGUGGAUAUACAAGGAAGAAGACAAAUGCCACCGCCUCCUAUAGAAGUAGAUAAUAAUGAAGAAUUUGAGGUGGAAGAGAUAUUAGACUCAAGGUGGCACCGAAAUAAGCUGGAAUAUCUUGUUCAUUGGCACGGAUAUGAUAUUAGUGAACGCACAUGGGAGCCAUCCAGGAAUCUAGCAAAUGCAUCAGCUAAAGUCAAAGUUUUUCAUCAACGACAUCCAUCAAAACCAAGAUGAAAAUCUCUCUUAUAAAAGAGACAAGAUUGAGGCAAGAUAACAUUCAAUUUCCUAUCCUUGUUUGUAACUUCUUUACAUUUGUGAUGCUAAUUAGAUGGAGAGCCAACAACCAGCGGAUUCAACUCAAGAACCUUCGUUUGCUGACCUGCCGGACGAGACAUUACGAUUGUCACAACCUUCAAGACGACGCAAUCGAGAUGAAGAUCUUCAAGAACGACAUGUUAUUCCUCGAACAGAUGGUGAGAUACAACGCGUUUGGUAUCAUGAUUUGGGAAGGGACUCCCGAUGUUUGGUGAUUUUGCUAGAGGUAGGAACAACUCUUGAUGGUGUUCAGAAUAUUCUAUUCGAAGGAAGUUAUGAAGGCCUCAAUAAUGAUCAAAUAACUGGGUGGUCUUCACGCCCUGGUAUGGGACACUACCGAUGGUUGAGAGGCCCUAUCAAUCAUCUUCGAAGAGAACAGAGAUCAGAGUAUGUGGCGAAUACAAUUCGUCGCAUCAUAGAUUUCCUCAACAUAUGAUGACCGCUCCUCGUGGAACUCGUCUCUAGAAGGGGGGGUAAUGUCACGGCCAUAAUCAUGUAAGCUAAUAAUUACAUAUAGAAAUAGGUAGAAGUAAGUAAAAGUAGAUAAAAGUAAGUUAAUUAUAUAAUAUUUAAUAUAGAAGCUUCCUAGAAACUUCCUAGAUGCUGCUUUGACUUCAUAGGUGUCUUUAAUUGACUUUUUGGAUUAGAAACGUGGUCAACAAGUUGGCCAUGUGCCACACAUGUUGUUAGCUUGAAGAUCAAGCUAACUAUGUCGCCCACACGUAGAAAAACUUGCCUUGUAAGUCAAGGCAUGUGUCCUACAAAGUCAACACAUAUUGGAGGUCCUAUAGAACGUCGCCACGUAGCCCCUAGUUAAAUAGUAUAUAUAGAGACAAGAGUGAAGGCUUCUUCGCUCUUGUCAACUCCUUUCUUGCUUCUAGUCCAGGUUCAAGAGUCUUUAGUUUCUUGUCUUGUGGCAAUAGCCAUUCCAGUUUCCUUUUAAUAUACCUACUUGUUUAUAUUUUGACUUAUUAUAUCGAGAUAGCCUUUUGGUGUAUAUUUUUCCUCAUCGAGUCUUUGUCCUUGACAGUGGGUUUGAUUACUCUUGACUGUUUUGUGAAAUUGAGUUACGUCUGUGAUGAAGAGUUAAAAGGGUGUCUAUAGGAUUGAGUAUGCGGAGUGAAUGAAAUUUAUUGGGUUAAUCUAACAAGAUAGUCAGUGGAUACAAGAUCGUGAGUAUAAAGUGGUAUCGAAGAUUAACAGUUUGGGUUGUUCGGGGUUCUCUGUAAUGUCUAGAAACCUAUCGGCUGGGGCAAAAAGGACUUCCACAAGCAGUCGAAGGGCAUCCGUAUAGAUUUACGGUGUAUUCUUGUAGUUAUUUAUAUUCCAAUAGUCAAAAACCGAUAAACUGCUUGAAUAUUGGCGAAUCUCCAUAUUACCUUCUACAGCCAGACGUCCGACGCGUUCUCGAGCAGGAAAGCACAUAAUACGACAGCGGUAUCGAAGAUUAGGAGUUUGGAUUGUUCGGGGUUCUCUGUAACGUCUAGAGACCUACCGCCUGGGGCAAAAAGGAUUUCGACGAGUAGUCGAAGGACAUCCCUAUAGAUUUACGGUAUAUUCUUGUAAUUGUUUAUAUUCCAAUAGUCAAAAAUUGAUAGACUGCUUGAAUAUUAGCGAAUCUCCAUACUACCUUCUACAGCUAGACGCCCGACGCGUUCUCGAGCAGGAAAGCACGUAAUAUGACAAUGUGUAUUUUGAAUCAUUACUAAACCUGUUGGAGCAUAUCUUUAUUAAGAUUUGAUUUUAAGAUCACGUAUUAACCCAAAAAAUAACAAGGUUUAUCAUAUGUAUUUUUUAGACAUUCUUAUCUUGCACCAAAAGAAAGAGAUACACCUUUUAAUCAACAAAGAACGAUUCUCUUGAAGCUAGAGUAUUUUCAUCUUUGAGUAAUAAUAUCAACAUUGAUUAUUGAUUCCACCAUUGUAAAACAAAUCCAAUCAAGUAUGUCUUCUCAUCCUCUUGUUCACAACAUCAAGAAUUUUUCUUCUAAAUCCCAAGAUACUUCUAAGUUUGAAUUCAAAAACAACCUACUCUAUUUUGAAGUUGAUUAUAUGUUUGAAAAGGAGAAGCACGAUUACAUGUUCUUCAAGCAUGUCAUGACUUUUUAGACGAAGGAUAUUUUGGAUAUAACAAGACUUUGGAGCUUAUAUCUAGAAAUUUGUAGCUACAAAUGUAAAAAGGUGUGAAAGACUUUUUUUAGUCAUAUGACAUUUGUUCAAGAUCAAAAAUUCCUCGUCAUUGACCUUAUGGGCUUCUUUAAUCAUUAUCUAUUCCUGAACAACCAUGGUCUUCUGUUUCUAUAAAUUUCAUCACGGAUCUUCCAAUCUCAAGUUCUUAUGAUUCUAUAUUUGUGAUAGUAUAUCGUUUUACCAAGAUGGCACAUUUUGUACCAUAUAAAAAAUCUAUCAUAAGUGAAGAAACAGCUAAACUCUUUUUUAACAACAUCUAUUACUAUCAUAGAUUAUUUAAAGAUAUCAUAUCAGAUAGGAAAACUCAAUUUGUAUUAAGAUUUUGAUAAAUUCUUUUCAAGAUUCAAAAAGUGGAUAUAAAACUAUCUUUUUCUUUUCAUCUUCAAACUAUUGGACAAAUAAAGCGUGUUAAUCAAGUUUUGGAGUAGUAUUUCACAUGUACCAUCAACUACCAACAAGAUGAUUAGAUAAUUCUUUUGCCAUUGGCAAAGUUUGCUUAUAAUAACAUAGUACAUUCUUCUACAAAAUAAACACCUUUUUUUGCUAAUUAUGAUUAUCAUCCAUGACUUGAUACUUUUUACUUUUCAAAAGCUGAUAAUUUUACAACAUAAGAUUUGACAAAUCGUUUGUUAGAGCUACAUGCAACAAUGAAGAUGUAGUUAAAAGAAGCUCAAGAAGAACAAAAGAUCAAUACGGAUGUCUAUUGAAAGAAACAACCACCAUUCCACGUGGGUGACAAGAUAUGAUUACUUUAUCACAAUAUUAAGACUACUUGUCCUUAUGACAAGUUGGACUAUUGUAAGCUUUGAUCAUUUCCUAUUUCUACACAAAUCAAUCCAAUUGCAUAUUAUUUAUACUUACUAGAGUCAAUAAAAAUCCAUCUAAUAUUCCACGUUUCUCUUCUUAAACCAUACAAGACAAUGGACAUACCAAGAAAAAAACAAGUGCCACUUCUUUCUAUAGAAGUGGAUAAUAAUGAAGAAUUUGAAGUGGAAGAAGUCUUAGACUCAAGAGAGUGCCAAAAUAAGUUGAAUUAUCUUAUUCAUUGGUACGGAUAUAAUAUUAGUGAAUGCACAUGGAAGCCAACAAAGAAUCUUGCAAAUGCACCAAAGAAGGUGGAAGCUUUUCAUUGACAAUAUCUAUCAAGAUGAAGAUCUUCUCUAUAAAAGAAAUAAGAUCUAAGCAAGAUAAUAUUCUACUUUCAAUCCUUAUUUUUAGCUUCUUUAUAUUUGUGAUGCUAAAAAAAUAGAGAUCUAACAACCAAUAAAUUCAAUUGAAGAGCUUUCAUUUGCGGACUUAUCAAACAAGACAUUGCAAUUGUCACAACCUUCAAGACAAUGCAAUCAAAAUGAAGAUCCUCAAGAAUGACAUGUUCUCUUUUGAAUAGAUGGUGAAAUACAAUGCAUUUGGUAUCACGACCUUAGAAGAGACUCUCGAUGUUUGGUAAUUUUAUUACAGAUAGAAACAACUCCUGAUAGUGUUCCAAAUAUUUUAUUUGAAGAAAGUUAUAAAGGCCUAGAAAAUGAUCAAAUAACAUGGUGGUUUUUCCAUCCUAGUAUGAGACACUAUUAAUGGCUGAGAGGGCCUAUCAACUAUCUUCAAAGAAAACAAAGAUCGAAGUAUGUAAAAAAUACAAUUUGUCACAUCUUGGAUUUCUUCAAUAUAUGAAGACCAUUUCUCAUGGAACUCAUCCCUAAAAAGGAGAUAAUGUUAUAGACAUAUACAUGUAAACUAAUAAUUACUUAUAUGAUUUAGAUAAUAAUUGAUAAAAGUAUGUCAAUUCCAUAAUAUCUUCUACAAAAGCUUUCUAGAAGCUUCAUAGAUACUUGUCACGGACACAAAAUACAGACUUGAAAUCUAACAAGAAGUUAAAGAAGAAGUGGCAGAACUAGAUUAAACAGAUGAGUACAAGAACAACACCAGAAAGGUGAGCUAGAACUCCAAGAGAUGUGUUGUCGAGACUGAAGAACCCUUCAGCCUCGACUCCUAUAUAUACUACUGAAUAGGAAGCUUCUCGAGCUACUUCCGCUAACUAGGACGCGUCUCCAACAACUUCUACUAAUAAGAAAACUUCUCGAGCAACUUCCUAGAAUCUAUCAGAAUAUUCUAGAACCUUUUAAGAAUAUUCUAGAACCUUCUAAUAGAAUCUUUAGGGAAUAUUCUAAGAAUCUUCUAGAACCUUCUAAAGGAAUCUUUAGAGAAUCUUUAGAGAAUAUUCUAAAAGAAUAUUCGAAGAAUCUUCCAAUGUAUGUCCAUGACAUCACCUCCUCUUCUAACUUCGAGGUCUCCGAGAAGCAAUGUUGUUAUCAGUCAAUACCAACGCAAGAAAAUGAAAAUCUGUCGCAUCACAUCCGCUAUGAAUUCCAAUUGUUGUUCGCGAGGCAAAUGAUACAUCGGCCCUUGGAGCCAACGGUAGUGACCAACACCUUCAACCUCUGACCAAGCGUGGACUUCUGUGUCUUCAUUGUGAAACUGUCCUCCAAACACACCUUCUGGCUGACCGUCGUAGGCAAGCUCGACCUCAAAUACAAUUACUAGCGAUCUGUUGCUCGGUAUCCUCCGACGUCAUCGUGGUGCAGGCGGUUCUUCAUCUCACGGUCGUCUUCGUGAUCUAGUCGCUUGAGAUGACAUAACAAGUGUAGUAUCUUGACUAUCCAUGUCCAAAGGCUAAAAUGAUGAGAGCAAACUAUAGUUGCUAACAAAGUUCUACACUAUCGAACUAUGGAUUUUGGAGGUGCCCUCCUCCCUUUUUAUGCUACUUGAUGAGCAAGCUUCAGCAAGAAGCUAUCGUUGAAUCGGCUUAGGUUUAUGAGGAUAUCGUUGAUGAAAUUCUUGUACCUUUUUUGGCGCAUUGGCAAGAUUUUCGGCACGCUCCCACGUUCGUUCAUUGAUGUCGUAUCCACUCUAAUGCACUAAAUACUCCAAUUUUCUCCUAUUACGUCGUGAAUCUAGUACCUUUUCCACCUCGUAUUCCUCAUGGUUUUUAAUUUCGAUACUUGGUGGCGGACUUUGUACUCUUUGGAGAAAAGCUGACUCUCGAUAAGGUUCCAACAAAGACACGUGAAAGACUGGAUGUACCUUCAUAGUAGCUGGUAAUUCCAGACGAUAUGCCACCGGAUUGAUCUGCUUCUCCAUAACAAAUGGCCCUAAUCUUCGAUAGUCCAAUUUGUCACAUGGCCGCUUGGUCUUGAUAUUCCGUCGAAGAAGCCAUACUUUACUUCCAACUUUAAAAGUAGGUGCCUCAUUUCGAUAUUUAUCUGCAAAUGCCUUGUAACUCUCUUGGGCAGAUUGCAAUUGAAGCUUCAACGUCGCUUGAAGCUCCGAUAGUUGCUUCACAAAUCCUUCAGCUGCUGGGUUGUUAUUUGCUGAAGAACUCAAUAAAUCGAGCUUGGGGUGGUAUCCGUAGUUGGAGAAGAAUGGUGUUUGUUGAGUUGACGCAUGAAGAGUGUUGUUGUAUGCGAACUCAGCAAGCGGUAGAUAUGCAGUCCAAUCAUCUUGUUGAUAGUUGAUGCUGCAUCGUAAAUAUUGCUCCAAAACUUGAUUCACCCGCUCCGUUUGACCGUUAGUUUGAGGAUGAAAAGCCGAAAGAGCUUAAUAUCCACCUUCAAUAUCUCAAAGAAGGACCUCCAAAACUUGGAUACAAACUGAGUACCUCGAUCCGACAUGAUAUCAUCUGGUAGGCCAUGAUAACGAUAUAUGUUAUCAAGAAAGAGUCUUGCGGUGUCUUCACUUGACGAUGUUUUCUUGCAAGGCACGAAAUGCGCCAUCUUUGUAAAUCGAUCCACCACAACAAAGAUGCUGUCAAAUGAAUUCGAUGGCGGUAGGUCCGUAAUGAAGUCCAUAGAAACUGAAGACCAUGGUCGGUGCGGAAUAGGCAAUGGCUGAAGAAGUCCAUACGGUGUCGUGUUGUAACACGAGUAUACAGUGAAAAUAAAAAGAAAGGGGAAUUUUAUUAAUAUUCAGUUAUCUCGAAUAUUGGGAGCAUCGACCAACUCCAGUACAAAUACUGAGUGGUCAGGUUCAGUGACUCCGUUACAGUCAGCCGGGGCAUACUGGAAUGCCCCGUUCGAUUCCAAUAACGGGAGUCAGCAGGAAGAGAAGGACCAAUUCACACGACGGGUUCGAGGAGCCAAUUGGAUCCAAUUUCGAGAAUCCAAUCCGGGUCCUCUUACCCAAUAUGAGACCUGUAUUGGUGGGGCAACCCAAUGCAGUCUAGUUACGGGAAAUCCAGGUUACUACGGGCAUCUUUCCCAAUAUAGGACCUGAAUUGGUCGGGCGACUCAAUGUGGUCCCGAUUACGGGGUUCGAUUCUGUUUCAGGCUGUCCUGUUCUCUGUGUCGUCUCAGGGAACGUUGUUUUCGGUAAAUGGAUUUCUUAAAGGUAAAAACGGAGGAGAAAGCUUGAGGUGGGAGCCAAUUUCGGAUCCAAGCUUGAGGUGGGAGCCAAUUCCGGAUCUAAGACGGAAGAUUGAAGAAAUUCAGAGGAUAAGGUUAGGGGGGAUAUAGUUUUGGAGUGGUGUGGAUUUUAUUUUGGGGGGAUGGGAGGUUUUUGAAGAUCAAGGGAAUUAGAGAGAGGAGCUUCAUGCUUCGGGUCGGGGAAGGAAAGACAUAGGAUUUGGAUUUUUCUUCUUCGUAGAGUUUUGGGGAAGACUGAGGCAAUCGCUGCUGAAGUCAGUGUUGUAAUGGUGAAUCGGGAUUUUUAAAUGAAGUGGGUUUGAAUACUCUUGACUGUUUUGUGAAAUCGAGUUACGUCUGUGAUUGAAGGAUUAAAAGGGUGUCUAUAGGAUUGAGUAUGCGGAGUGAAUGAAAUUUAUUGGGUUAAUCUAACAAGACAGUCAGUGGAUACAAGAUCGUAAGUACAAAGCAGUAUUGAAGGUUAACAGUUUGGGUUGUACGGGGUUCUCUGUAACGUCUAGAGACCUACCGGCUGGGGCAAAAAGGACUCCGACAAGCAGUCGAAGAGCACCCGUAUAGAUUUACGGUACAUUAUUGCAGUCGUUUAUAUUCCAGCAGUCAAAAAGUGAUAGACUGCUUGACUAUCGGCGAAUCUCCAUACUACCUUCUACAGCCAGACGCCCGGCGCGUUCUCGAGCAGGAAAGCACGUAAUACGACAUAAGUGGUGAACCCGACGUGAAAGCUUGAGGUAGAAGGUAUUGGAUUUCGGUUGAUUUUAUCUUUAUUUUUUAUGGAAAACGAAAAUAAAAUUUUUGAAGGAUUUUUGGGAGAAAUUUCUGGUGGGGAGUCUUCUAAAGGACAAGGUAUGCACAUGGAUCCGUCUAUUGCUAGUUUGUUUCAAGCCUUCUCAUUGUCAAUGCAGCAACAGCAAAGCAAUGAUCGAAAGGAAGCUUUGGCAACCAAAGCAUUGCAAGCAGUGGUCAAUAAAAUUGAUCAAUUUGAUGGGAGGAAUAUUUCAAGGUAUUUAAGAUGUUAUGUUCGUGAAAUGGAAUUAAAUUGGGUUUCUGAGAAGAAAAUGGUUGCACUAUUUCGACUUGCCACGAUACCGGAGAUAAGGGACCACAUUACAUCGAUUACGGAUCAUUGUGGGAAUUCAUGGGAGGAUUUUUCACAUGCAUUGAAAGACGAAUAUUUCUUAGAAGAUGCUGAUCGCGUUACUAAGAAGCUGUUUCUGGGAUGGAUUGAAUGGCCCAAUAAGAAUUUACAAGCAACAGAGCUACUAAGGGAAUUUGAGAGGCAGUACUCUCAAUUAUCGAAGGUAGAAAAAUUGACAUUGGAGCCGAACAAAGUUGAUUUAUUUCUUCAAGCUGCUGAUGGAGAAUUGCAAGAGAAAUUAGAACCCCUUCUUGAAGACAAAGAAGAAGAUGAAGGAUUGACAACGAAGUAGAAGAACGUUGAAGAUGCGGUGGGGUUGCUUACAAAAAAAGAAAGGAGGAAGGAUAGGAGUAAUAUUCCGAAACAAGUACAAGCAUCCAAAGCUCCAGUACGUACUACACCACCGACAAUGCCUACAGUUCAACCUUCGACAUCCUUGUCAAAGAAAACAGAUAUGGGUAUGGAAGAAAUUAUACGAAGAAUGCGAGAUCUUCAAAUCAAAUUGGCAAGACUUGAAGAGAAUACUUUUAUAAACAAUUCAAAGAAUAUUUCAAAACAAGGAUAUGUACAAAGAUGCAUUUGGUGUGAUGAUGCUUCACACACUAGAAAAGAUUGCAAUGAAUUUAAUAAUAUGAUACGGCAGGGAAUUAUUUGCUGGAAAGAUGGGAAGAUAGCAUUGAAAGAUAGGGAGGAUCUUCUUCAAACCAAUUUUGGCAAGGGAGGAAUGAGAGCAUUGGUUCAAGAUUACUUAAAAGGGCAUGAAACAGUAGCACGAGAAAGUGCAAGUUAUGGUGCUAGAGUAGAUGAUGAAAUUGGUGGAAGUACGGAAACUAGUGAGUUUUGGGCUUCUGCCGUUUCUACAAUGCAAGAAGGGAAAUUACCUCGAGAAGCGUUAUUGAGAACUGCAGCUACAAUACGAGGAAGAACAGGUUGGAAGGAUCCCGUUGAGUCUCUUUUAGUUCAUGCAUAUAUUGCUAAGAGCCAACAUGAAGCUUUGAUGGAAGAGAAAAGACGAAGAAAUUUUGAUGAUACUAGAGAAGGAAAUUCUUUUAAGAGGCAAACUCGAGGAGACAAGGCUCGGGAGGCAGCUUCACAAGAAUUGCCUGUAAAGGAUACCUCAGCAUCAUUGGGAGAAAAAACAAGGGAGACAAAAGAUAAGGGCAAAUCAAUUGCUUAUAAGCUACUUUCUGACAUUGAAGCGGCAACAAAUUUGAAAGGGGUGUUGGAAGAACGUAUAUUAAACGCUAAGGUGGAAUUCACAUUGAAAGAAGUCUUGGGAAUUGCAAAGAAGGAGUUUCAUGAUGUUAUCAUUGACAGCAUUAAGCGAAAGAGGCAAUUAAUGAGCGAAACUGGAAUGAGUCAUGCUAUUGACGCAAGAAUAUGUAGAGAUGAAGAAGAGGUUGAUAUUGGUUACAAGCAACCAAUAAAUGAAAAGAAUGGGUAUAAUCAGCGAGUACGUUUCGAAGAUUCUAGUGACAAGGAAAUGGAAACUUUGAGCCAUUAUACUCGAAAGCAUUGGGCAAGGACAACUACUGAGGUAUUGGUGAAGGUAGGAGAUAUAGAAGAACCAAUAGUUGCUUUGGUGGACCAUGGUUCUGAAAUAAAUCUCAUGUCUAAAGAUCUUUAUAAGAAGCAAAAAUAGCCAAUUGAUAUGGAACAUGGAUGGGCAAUACGAGCAGCUAAUAACACACGAGGCGAAUUAUAUGGAGCUUGUCCAGAUGUCAAAAUUCAGAUUGAGGAUGUUGCUACGGAGCAACAUUUCUUCGUUCAAGAUACAACGUCUUAUCCGUUGAUUUUAGGACAACCUUAUAUCACGGCAACACGGAUGGAAACAAAGGUACUUGACGAUGGUUCUGCUUGUGCAAGGGUACGGAGCGAAGAUGGGAGGAAAGCUGUACAAUUUCUAACAGUACCUCCUAACCAUGAACGGAAUCGAGAUAGGUUGAGGGAGAAACCAUUGCCAAAGAUUGUUGAAGGAUUUAAGGAUUUUGGGGAGGUACCACUGUAAAGCGAGAUUAUGGAGGUACAAAAGAGGAGGUACUCUCGCGAGAUGAAGGUGCCUUUGAUGCGAGUUUUAUUGGUAUGUUAGAGAAUGGAAAUAUUAUGUAUAAGAAAGUUGAAGAUUUUAAAAGAAAAGAAAGAAAAAGAUUAUAUGAUAUUGAAGGACAGUUACGCAAGAUAGGUACAUUGCAAGAUGAUGAGAGGAUUUUGGGUGUUUAUGAAGAAAAUGGGCUGGAAGAUUCAUUGGAAUUGAUUACAUCUAUUGGGUUAGGAGAUAAUGAUAAGAUUGUUGAGAUUCAUUCGAGAGAGGUUUAUACCAUGCUUGAAUCUUUUCAAGCACCAGAAGUCACAGUAGAGACGAGAUAUAAAACGGCAGAUAAGAAGGUAAAGCCUGUUGCCGGACCAUUACCAGAGGAUUCUAAAGAACAAAUGGGAGAAGCAUCAAAAGAAGCAAGUUUAAGAGAUCCAAUGAGUAUUGGACAUCAAUUUACUGAAGAGACUUUUGAAGAAUUGAAGAUUGGUUCUGAUGGUUCUUUAUUGCCGGAGGAAAUUACUUGCUUCGAAAAGAUGUUGGCUAAACAAGGUAGAUCGUUUGCCUUCGAAUCUCAUGAAAUUGGGUGUGUGGAUCCAAAUAUUAUAACACCUAUGGUUAUCUUCACUGUACCGCAUGUACCUUGGAAUCUAAGACCGAUUCCAGUACCGAGGGCACAUUUACCUAAAUUGGUCGAACUAUUGAAAGAAAAGAUAAAGAUGAAAAUAUUAGAACCUUCAUUUGCGCCGUAUUCUUGUCGAUGGUUUACGGUACCUAAGAAGAAUGGGUCACUGCGGUUUAUUCAAGAUAUGCAGCCGGUGAAUGCUGUAACUGUCAGGAAUGCAAGAAUUGGACCUAUUGUGGAUGAAUUUGCUGAGGCGUUUGCUCGAAGGGCGAUCUAUUCAAUGGGUGAUUUGUAUUCAGGUUAUGAUCAAUUUCAACUUGCCGAAGGAAGUAGAGAUAUGACAACGAUGAGGACACCGCUUGGAUUGGUUAGAAUGUGCACUCUUCCUCAAGGCGCGACCAACUCAAUUGCGCAUAUGAUGAAUGGGAUGAAUAAGGUAUUGAGAGAUUUUAUCCCGGAAAAGACUAUGCCUUUUCUGGAUGAUGUUCCUAUAAAAGGGUGCAAAGAAGGAGACAAGGAUGAAACUUUAGAUACGAGGGGGUGUCGCAGAUAUGUUGUUGAUCAUAUACAAGAUUGUGAAAAGAUUUUAACUCGGCUUGGAGAAGUUCAUCUUACAUUAUCGGGUAUGAAGUCCGUAUUUGGAGUGCAAGAGGUUGUAAUUGUUGGACAUUUAUGCGGAUCUUACGGAAGAAAACCAGAUCCGACUAAAGUUGAUGCAAUUGGAAGGAUGAAAGAGGAUUGUGGUUCUUUAACAGAGGUUCGCAGGUUUUUGGGUGCAUGUGUAUUUUAUCGAAUCUGGAUCCCUCAUUUUGCUCACAUAGCGGAUCCAUUAUAUGAACUAUUACGCAAGGGUUACCGAUUUGAAUGGAAAGAAAGGCAUAUUCAGGCAAUGCAAAGAUUGAAGAAAUUUUUGAUGUCACCUCCAAUAUUGAGGAAGGUUGAUUAUAAGUGCAAUAGACCAGUGAUUCUUACUAUAGACGCUAGUCCAAUUGCCAUUGGAUGGGCUGUGGGUCAAGAUGAUUCGAAUGGGAGUAGAUUUGCAGUUCGAUUUGGAGCUAAAGUUUUAAGUAUUCGUCAGCGUGCAUAUUCGCAAGUCAAAAGAGAACUUUGGGGAGUCGUUUCGGCUAUGAAAGCUGAAAAGAACUAUUUGAUUGGGGCAGUAGUAGUAAUUGAAACAGAUUGCUUGCCAUUGCUUGGAAUGAUUAUUAACUGUUCAACGCCAGAUAUUGCAAUGUUGAGAUGGAUUGCUUAUAUUAAGUCACUAAAUCCGGAAUUUAAGCAUAUCACUGGAAAGGACAAUUUAGUAGCAGACAUGCUAUCUCGAGCAAGAUACGAGAGGGAGGACGAAAUGGUUGAAGACAUUGAUGAUGUCGGAUUGAAAUUCUAUUCAAUAUCAAAUCUCAACAGAGAAGACAAGCUAUUUCUUGAAGAAUCUUAUGAAGGAGAAUUAUUGGAUAUUGGUCAUUAUUUGAAUACCUUGUCUAAGCAGGAGAAUUGGUCUACAGAAAAAUUCAAACAAAUAAGAAAAAAAGCAUAUGGAUUUUUACUUCGAGAUGGAUUCUUAUGGAAGAGACCGAAGAAAGGAAUUGGGAUGCCACAACGAGUGAUAGGCAAAAGGAAAGAAAAACUAAAAUUAUUAAAGGAGUUUCAUGAUAGUUUAUGGGCAGGGCAUAGAGGAAUCUGGGUUACUUUUGCUUAACUCAAAGAACGAUAUUGGUGGAAAAAUAUGUAUCAAGAUGUGCUCUUAUUUGUAGAGUCAUGUGAAAUCUGUCAAUCAUAUUCUAAUAUCCAACAUCGAGAUGGUCUUCAUCCUACGUAUCCUCUGGCUAUUCAUUUUAAAUAGGUUGUUGAUUUGGUUAUUAUGCCAAUUAGGUUAUGGCAGAUGAGAUAUUUGGUUUUAGCUCGUGAAGAUUUAUCAAAUCAAGUAGAAGGAAGAGCAUUGAGGACAAAAUCUACAGAGGGGAUCUGUAGGUUUUUGCUUGAAGAUGUCAUUUGCCACUACGGAUGCGUAGGAAAAAUCACUGCAGAUCAUGGAGAAUUAAAUGCACAAGAAGCUCGUAAGUUCUUUGAAAGAUGUGGAAUUAAACUAUCACUGACUAUUGCUUAUAAUCCGGAAGGGAAUUCGAAAAGCGAACGCGGUCACCCGCCGAUUGUGAAAGCAUUGGUUAAAGCUUGUAAUGGGAAGGUUAAAGAGUGGCCACGGCUUUUGUCAUUUGCAUUAUGGGCUGAUCGAAUAACACAUAGUUCGGUGACAGGAUAUAUGCCAGUAGAACUUAUGACAGGUCAAAAACCAAUUAUGCGGAUUGAAGAAAAGGUACUUACUUGGAGUAUGCUACCAUGGGAAGAUGGAUUGACAAGAGAAGAACUUCUGGCUAUUAGGAUUCGACAAUUGGAGCAAAGAACGGAAGAUGUCCAGAUAGCAUUGGAAAGGUUAAAAAGAGCAAGGUUACAAAACAAGGCGCGAUUCGAUAAGCAACAUCGAUUGAGACCAAAAGCAAUCGAGGAAGGUGACUGGGUACUUGUUUAUGACAAUAGUCUGGAUAAUCAACAUAGUACUUUGCGGAAAUUUUCAAAACGUUGGUUUGGACCAUAUGUUGUAACAACUGUUCAUGAUAAUGCGACUUACUCAUUACGGGAGUUAGAUGGUACAAAAUUGAAAAUACCAAUUGCUGGGAAGAGAGUAAAAAUAUUUAAACGAAGACACGCAGAGAUGAAUAUGGAAGACCUUAAUGAAGGUACAGAGAUUCCGCAGCAAGAAGAUGAAAGUGAUAUGGAUAUAAAGGUGACGAAGAGGAACUGGACAAAGACGUAGGGGAUAUAUUCUGAAUCAAACAGCAAUUGGGUAAAUUGGUGCAUACCGAAGGAUGCACAGGUUCAGAGGGGGUGGAUGUCGUGUUGUAACACGAGUAUACAGUGAAAAUAAAAAGAAAGGGGAAUUUUAUUAAUAUUCAGUUAUCUCGAAUAUUGGGAGCAUCGACCAACUCCAGUACAAAUACUGAGUGGUCAGGUUCAGUGACUCCGUUACAGUCAGCCGGGGCAUACUGGAAUGCCCCGUUCGAUUCCAAUAACGGGAGUCAGCAGGAAGAGAAGGACCAAUUCACACGACGGGUUCGAGGAGCCAAUUGGAUCCAAUUUCGAGAAUCCAAUCCGGGUCCUCUUACCCAAUAUGAGACCUGUAUUGGUGGGGCAACCCAAUGCAGUCUAGUUACGGGAAAUCCAGGUUACUACGGGCAUCUUUCCCAAUAUAGGACCUGAAUUGGUCGGGCGACUCAAUGUGGUCCCGAUUACGGGGUUCGAUUCUGUUUCAGGCUGUCCUGUUCUCUGUGUCGUCUCAGGGAACGUUGUUUUCGGUAAAUGGAUUUCUUAAAGGUAAAAACGGAGGAGAAAGCUUGAGGUGGGAGCCAAUUUCGGAUCCAAGCUUGAGGUGGGAGCCAAUUCCGGAUCUAAGACGGAAGAUUGAAGAAAUUCAGAGGAUAAGGUUAGGGGGGAUAUAGUUUUGGAGUGGUGUGGAUUUUAUUUUGGGGGGAUGGGAGGUUUUUGAAGAUCAAGGGAAUUAGAGAGAGGAGCUUCAUGCUUCGGGUCGGGGAAGGAAAGACAUAGGAUUUGGAUUUUUCUUCUUCGUAGAGUUUUGGGGAAGACUGAGGCAAUCGCUGCUGAAGUCAGUGUUGUAAUGGUGAAUCGGGAUUUUUAAAUGAAGUGGGUUUGAAUACUCUUGACUGUUUUGUGAAAUCGAGUUACGUCUGUGAUUGAAGGAUUAAAAGGGUGUCUAUAGGAUUGAGUAUGCGGAGUGAAUGAAAUUUAUUGGGUUAAUCUAACAAGACAGUCAGUGGAUACAAGAUCGUAAGUACAAAGCAGUAUUGAAGGUUAACAGUUUGGGUUGUACGGGGUUCUCUGUAACGUCUAGAGACCUACCGGCUAGGGCAAAAAGGACUCCGACAAGCAGUCGAAGAGCACCCGUAUAGAUUUACGGUACAUUGUUGCAAUCGUUUAUAUUCCAGCAGUCAAAAACUGAUCGACUGCUUGACUAUCGGUGAAUCUCCAUACUACCUUCUACAGCCAGACGCCCGGCGCGUUCUCGAGCAGGAAAGCACGUAAUACGACAACGGACGAUGUCGAGGGAUCUUGGAUCUUGAACAAACAUCACAAGAAAGGACAAAUUCCUUCAUAUCCUUCCACAUUUGGGGCCACCAAAAAUCUCGUGAAAUGAGCUCCAAAGUCUUGUUGAAUCCAAAAUGUCCCGCACCUGGAAAGUCGUGGCAAGAUUGAAGUACUCGGAGUCGAGUUGGUCCUUUCGGGAUAUACAACCGCUCCUCAAAAUACAGAAGAUCUCCCUCCACCUUAAACUUGUCAUUAUCGACACGUUGUUUGAUGUCAAGAGCUAUAGAAUCCUCAAUGGUCGCAGUACGUACCUCGCUGAGGAAGCCGUCAUCGAUAGUUGCAACAGUAGCAAAAAUCCUGAAUUUUUCUGGUUUCAACAAUGUUGUACAUUGUUGAUCAAACGCUGCUUCUCCAGCCUUUGGCGCAAGAUACGAUCUCCUCGAUAAUGCGUCAGAUAAUCCUUGCUGUUUUCCAGGGCGGUAGGUGAUAAUAAAGUCAAAUCGUGAUAGAGACAUAUUCCAUCGAGCUUGACGACGAUUCAAAAUUCGAGCUGUCAUGAAGUACUCCAAAUUCUUGUGGUCCGUAUAAAUAGUCACUGGAUGUGUAGCUCCUUCGAGGAAGUGACGCCACUCUUGGAAGGCAUCCACUAUAGCAAGCAGCUCUUUGUCGUGGAUCUCGUAGUUGAUCUCAGCAGCAGAGAACUUCCGUGAAUAGAACGCAACUGGGUGAAGCUUCUUGUCUAUGUCCAUCUGUGAAAGUACAGCUCCCAAAGCAAAAUCUGAAGCAUCGGUUUCUAAAUAGAAAGCCUUUGCAAAGUCAGGGUGUACCAAGAUUGGAGCCGUAGUGAAUGCCGUCUUGAGAUCUUGAAAUGCUUUUGCUGCUUGUGAUCUCCAUUCGAGCUUGUCUUUGCUUGUUAGACGCGUGAGUGGUGCAGCAACUUGAGAAUAAUUCUUGAUGAAGAUCCGAUAGAAGUUAGCAAAUCCAAGAAAACAUUGAACAUCUCUAACCGUCUUCGGAACUUCCCAAGAUAUAAUUGCUUCUACCUUUUUUGGAUCCAUCUUCAAGCCCUCUGUAGUCGCAAUGAAGCCCAAAAAUUCCAUCUCAUUCUGGUGAAAUUGACACUUCUCCAACUUGGCGUAGAGUCCUCGUUCGCGUAGUUUUUCAAGAACUAAACAAACGUGCUUCUCAUGUUCUUCUUCAUUCUUGGAAAAUAUCAAAAUAUCAUCCAGAUAGAUGACAACAAAGUCAUCGAGGUACUCCCGAAAGAUGUCGUUCAUCAUAUGCUGAAAGACCGCUGGAGCAUUGGUAAGACCAAAAGGCAUGAAAUUGUACUCAAAAUGACCAUACCUUGUACGAAAGGCUGUCUUCCAUUCAUCUCCUUCUUUGAUUCGCACAAGGUUGUAGGCUCCUCUUAAAUCAAUCUUUGUAAAAAUCCUUGCACGUCCAAGUUGAUCUAAGAGGCCGGAGAUCAAAGGUAAGGGAUAGCGAUUUUUCUUGGUCACCUUGUUGAGUCCUCGGUAGUCCACGCACAUCCGCAGUGAGCCAUCCUUUUUCUUCACGAAUAGGAUUGGUGCUCCAGCUGGCGACUUUGAAUGUCGAAUAAAAUUCUUGACUAGAUUCUCAUCGAUGUACUUCCGCAAUUCUGCCAACUCCGACUGCGAUAGGUUGUAUAUUGGACCAAAAGGUGGUUGCGCUCCUUCCUCUAAGUCUAUGGCGCAAUCAUAUGGUCGAUGUUCCGACAGUAUAUCGGCGUUCUUCUUCUGAAACACGUCUUCAAAAUCCCUAUAUUGCUCUAGUAUAUUCGAUGUUGAGAUAUUCUCGCCGCUAGUUGGAGCUGCAUAAAUGACAAAUGGUGCGCCUUCCUUGGACGAUCUUAGGAACGCUCUCGCUCCAAUAAACAUGAAUUUCUUCAUGUAGGUUCUACCAAUAGGUUUAUUAUUAUUUUUUUCAGAAAAUGUUAUCCUUCGUAGCCUCCAAUCAAUGGACGGAUUAUGAUCUUCUAACCAAGAAAGACCAAGGAUAAUAGGGCUUGAUGGGGUUCUAAUAAUAUUAAAAAUAACGUGACUACUAUAGUCCUUAAACACCACUUCUAUAGGUUCUGAUUCGUGGGUAACGUUGCCUGACAAUAAGGGUCAUCCAUCUAUCACCUCUACGUGAACAGGUUUGGACUUCUGUACUAAACGGAUCUUGUGGCGUUUAGCAAACUCUUCAUCUAAAAAACAAGUAGAUGCCCCCGAAUCCAAUAAAGCUAAAGUUUUUGUUUUUGAGGGCCUAAAAACAAAGGAAUUGUAAAACAACGGGCAGGUUGGACAGAGAAGGAGGAACCUGAUUGUUGUCGUGAUAUUAGAUUGUCCAGCCGCACGGUUCCUACUAUGGCUGGGCGUCGUCGUUUUCCGGAAUCAUCGCACUUCUAGUCUUGACAGGGUGCCAAUUUUGCUUCUUUGGGCAAUUUCCAACCUUGUGACCUUCUUCUCCACAGUACAAACAUAACCCUUCCUCCAUACGCCGUUUCUUCUCUGUUGGAGUAAGAGAUCGGACACGCGCCGUGUCGAUUUGCAUGUCUGUUGCCUCCGAAUGUGAGUUUAAGCUAUUUGCAGACAUAGUCACGUCGUAACGAGUCAUUUGGUGUCUUGGACGUUGGUCUUGGCGACGCUGGAAUAGGCGGUUGUCACACUUUACAGCUUGGCUAAUAGCUUCGUUGAGCGUUUGAGGAUCAGGAAGAGAUAACAACAAGUCCUUCACAUCAUCCUUCAAGCCCCAAUAAAACUGACUCACCAACGCCUCUUCACCCCAAUUAAUGUCACUUGCCAAUUGUCUGAAAUCCGAGGCAUAGACUGAUGCAGAGCGUGUUCCUUGUCGUAGCGAUCGGAUCUUUGUUGUAGCCCAUCGAACUUUAUCAUGCUCGCCAAAUGCUUCUGCAAACGCCUCCAAGAACGUUUCAAAGUUGCUCAGGAUUGGCGAUCGCUUCUCGAACAAGGGAGUAAACCAAGACAGAGCUUGUGCUGUAAGCAAGGUUCCAACAAGCCCAACACGCGCUUCCUCCGUCGGAUAACGUUCGGGCUGUAAAAUUGUUAUCAACCUGAUUUGGUUGACAAAACCUCGAAACUUGGAACGAGUUCCAUCAAACUUAUCCGGAAGACUAACUCGAGGCUCCUUUCGUUGUAGGACUACUCGAUCUUGUUGAAAUGGAGGUAGAACUGCUUCUUCUGGCGCAGAAGUUUGAGGCUGAUAUGCUUUAGAUGGCACUAUCCCAGAUGCUCCAUUGUUAUGGAGUCCUACCAUGACUCCUUCGAUCUCUGUUGUCCUAUGUGACAACGAGGCAAGAGCAUUUAUGAUGGCGUCUAGUUUGGAUUCCAAACUUUUAGCCAUUUUAACGUCUUAACCUUCGGCUAACCUUCAGAAAGAAGAAAAAAGAAUUUUGACAAGAGGACAAUAUUGGUUCAGAGGAGAGUACUCCGCAACCUCUAAAACACCUUAAGACUCCAAGAUGAGGGGUAAUCCACUCUCUCCAAGAAGAAUAAGGCUCCAAUAUUGAGAAAGAAGAGAUAUCAGUUUAGAGGAGGAUAAUCCGCAACCUCUAAAACACUAGCACACCUUCAAGAAGAGGGGUAAUCCACUCUCUAACAAGAAGGAACUAGCUCUGAUACCAGUCAAAAUGCAGUCUCGACAAACUGUCACGGACACAAAAUACAGACUUGAAAUCUAACAAGAAGUUCAAGAAGAAGUGGCAGAACUAGAUUAAACAGAUGAGUACAAGAACAACACCAGAAAGGUGAGCUAGAACUCCAAGAGAUGUGUUGUCGAGACUGAAGAACCCUUCAGCCUCGACUCCUAUAUAUACUACUGAAUAGGAAGCUUCUCGAGCUACUUUCGCUAACUAGGACGCGUCUCCAACAACUUCUACUAAUUAGGAAACUUCUCGAGCAACUUCCUAGAAUCUAUCAGAAUAUUCUAGAAUCUUUUAAGAAUAUUUUAGAACCUUCUAAGAGAAUCUUUAGGGAAUAUUCUAAGAAUCUUCUAGAAUCUUCUAAAGGAAUCUUUAGAGAAUCUUUAGAGAAUAUUCUAGAAGAAUAUUCGAAGAAUCUUCCAAUGUAUGUCCAUGACAAUACUGCUUUGACUUUACAAGUAUCUUUAAUUGAUUUUUUAGAUUAAAAACGUAGUCAACAAGUUGGCCAUGUAUUACAUAUGUUGAUAGCUUGAAGAACAAGCUAACUAUGUGGUCCACAUGUUGGAAAACUUGCCUUGUAUGCUAAGGCAUGUGUCGUGCAAAGUCAAUACAUAUUAGAGGUCCUAUAGAAUAUUGCCACGUAGCUCCUAGUUAGAUAGUAUAUAUAGAGGUAAGAGUGAAGCCUUCUUCACUCUUGUCAACUCCUUUCUUGCUUCUAUUCUAGUUUCAAGAGUCUCAAGUUUUCUUGUCUUUUGGCAAUAAGCCAUUUUAGUUUCUUUUGAAUAUAUCUACUUCUUUAUUUCUAUUUUGUCACUUUUUCUUUGAUACAAAUUUCAUUGGUUUAUGCAUCAUCUUUUAGUUCAUGUCUUUCAUACUAGUUCAUUCUACAAUAAGCUAUAAAUUGGUCCAAAUGGUGAUUGAGCUCAUUCUUGUAAAUCAAUUGAACAAUCAUAAGGUUGAUGGUCUGGAAGAAUAUCUACAUUCUUCUUUUCAAAAACAUCUUGGAAUUCUUUAUAUUGACUAGGAAUAUCACUUGACAUUUUUUCACCAUUAAAAAUGGGCAUAGCAUAUAUAACAAAAGAUGAUCCUUCUUUUGCAGCAUGUGUAAAAGUUCUUACACCUACUAGUAAAGUUUUGGAUGUACUAGACUUAUAUACUUCUAUUUCACUAAACCUAAUCUUGGAUUAUACUACCACAAAAUUUAAUGUUACGAGAAAUCGAAUCUAUUUGAAGAUUAUAUUUUUUAGCCAUGAUAAUCCUAAAAUAAUUAGAUUGGAAGGAGAUAUUAUUAUAUUAAAUAUUAUUACGAUGUUAUGAUCUUUAAUUACUACAUCUAAAAGAAUAGUCUCAUAGAUAAUAUUUCCAAAAGACAAUAAACGACCAUCUAUAACUUCUACAUGUAUGGGUUUACUUUUCUUGAUUAAAGGUAUUUUUUGAUUUUUGACAAAAUCUUUGACUAUAAAAUAGGUUGAGGCACUUGAAUCUAAUAAGAUAAAGACUUUGUGAUUUUUAGGUCCUAAACACACAUCUAUUGUAAAAUAAGGUGAAGGAUCUGAGGAGAGAAUAAGAACUUUACUAGGUGUUGUACAUGAUCUCAGCUGCAUGGUCUCUAUUAUAGCUAAAGAAACUUAUUUUUUAACACAUUAUCUUCUUUGAUAAUUGUGCUCUUUAUUUUGUAAUUGUAUUACUUCUUUGAACAUUAUUGAGCAGAAUGUUUGGCUUUUCUACGAUAUAAACAUAAAUCGUCUUAGCAACAUCGAGUCUAUUCCUACUUCAUGAGAGGUUUAAAAUAUAUUGUAUCAAUUUACAUUGGUUUUAGCCUUGAUGAAUACAUUUUAGAGAACUUGAGAGUUGCCACAAUUACUUGAAUUGUUCUUCUCUAGCUAAGUCUUUUUUUUUUAUGCCUUUCAAAUAAUCAAUUGUCACAUGCAAUGGCUUAAGUAAUAAAUUGUUCUAAAGAUUCAGCUUUUGGCAUUGUUAAUAAAAAAUCUUUGAUGCUAUCCUUCAAUCCAUAUCAAAAUCGAUUAAUAAGUACUUUGUUAUUUCAGUCCAUUUCGUAAGCAAGGUUUUGGAAUUCAGUAGCAUAUGUGGUAGCUGAUUGUAAAGAUAAGAAUUUGGUCUCUAUUACUUCUUCUUGAUCACUUUCUUUGAAUAUGACUAUGAACAUUUCUAAGAAUGAAUUUAAAUCAUAAAGUAGUCAUGAAUCCUUUUCUAUCAAAGGUACAAACCAAGAAAGUGCACUUCUAAAUAGAAGUGUGCCUAUAAAGCCAACUUCAGUAAAUCCAUCCGCAAAUUGAAAAAAGUGUAACUUAAAUAGAGCUUAAAUUGUCAUAAAAAUCCUCAAAAUUUUGAUCUUGUUAAAUCAAAAUUCUUAGACAUACUAAUUUUUGCUUCUCUUGAACUUGUAGAAGUAAGACUCCUUGAAUUUGGUUGUGAGGCUAAUUAACUUGUUUUCUUCAACUGCACAACUUCUUGACAUAGACUCUAGACUUUUUCUAUAGGUUUAGAAGUAGUUCUCCUAUAGUUGACAUUAGUGAUGCAUGAAAUUUCUACCUUAAGAGUGUUGACAAGUUCAUGAAGAUCCACAAUAAUUACAAAUCUAUUUUCUUCCAUAGAAAACUCAAACAAAUUCAAAGAGUUAAAUUAGAAGAAAGUAAUCUGUAACCUCUAAUAAAAAAAUUCACAAAGAGGGAUAAUCUACUCUCUUUAAGAAAAAAAUUAGUAUUAAAAAAUAAGAUAUUUUAUUUAAAGAUAGGAAUCUACUUUUUAAAAAAUAUAAUAAUAGAAGUGAGAUAAUCUACUCACUUCUAAAAUAAGAUAAAAAUAGUAUGUUAGCACUCUUGUCAAACUAUUAAGGACUUGAAUCUCAAAGGAAGAAAAAACCUCAAUAUACUCUUGUGUCACUGAAAAGAACUAAAAAGUCACUCAAAGAUGUUAUAAUAUUAAACUAGAAUGGCUACUGGUAAAAUCAAGAAGAUUAGAAAGUCUUGGAAUAAGACUAAGGACUAAAAAGGCAUUGACAAGAGUGAAGAAGGCUUCACUCUUGCCUCUAUAUAUAUACUCUUAACUAAGAGCUAUGUGGCGAUGACCUAUAGGACCUCGAAAAUAUGUUGACUUUGCUAGCCACAUGUCUUAACUUGUAAGGUAAGUUAUCUAUGUAUGUUCUACAUAGUUAGCUUAUUCUACAAGCUAUUAUAAGGAGUUAACUUAUUCCACAAGCUACUAACAUGUGAUUAACUUCUUUGCCAAGUUUCUAACCUACAAACUCAUCUAAAGUCAAAAUUACAUCUAAUAAAUCUUCUAAGAAGCUUCUUUAGAAGACUUUAUGAAAUUAACCUAUAUUUACCUACUUCUAUUUAAUCAUAUAAAUAACUAUUGAGGUAAAUGUAUAUGUCCAUAACAUCAACUCAUGUACUUUUAGACACCAAAAUCUUAACAUGUUUUAUAAAUAAAAACUUUUCUUUGUAGCAAAAAUUGAUAGUUUUAAAAAAGAUCAAAUUUAUUCUAAUAAAAAUUAUUUAUAGAAAAUUUCUUAUAUUUGGAGAUUUUUAUUUUAAAAAAAGAUAUUAGUAAUAGAAUUAAAAUAUUAAAUAUUAUUAUCAUCGUUAUUUAAUAUUCUUCAAAUUUAGUUGUACUUAAUCUUCUUUAAUUUAAAUUAUACAAUCCAUUACUAAUUAAAAAUUAUAAAAAGCUACUUUUAGGUUUAUUCUAAAUGCUAAAAAAAUAUUCUAAUAUUUAUUUUUUAUAACUAAAAAAUAUAUGUAGUUUGAAAAAGAAUUUUUUUAUUAUUAUGUUAGCAAUAAAAUUAUAAAGUAGUAUAAGAAAUAUUGUGAUAUUUUUGAAAAAAAGAAUUCUAUCAUAUUAUCAAAGACUCAACUUAUAAUCAAUUGUCAAGAAGAAACCAAACUACUAUUUGAACCAAUUUACACCUUAUUGCAUAAUAAAUUAGUAGCUUUAAAUGAACAUACUAAUAUUAAUCUUAUAAAAAAAAUUAUUUAACAUUUAAAAUUUCUUGAAAAUGCAUCAAUCUUCUUUGUUAAGAAAAAAGAUAUGUUCUUAAAUAUAUAUAUAUAUAUAUAUAUAUAUAUAUAUAUAUAUAAAAUAAAGAUUUAACAAAUCAACCAUCAAAAAUUGGCAACAUUUGAUAUUAAAACCCUUUAAUCAACUAACUAAAAGUUAGUUCUACAUUAACAUAUAUUUAUAAAAGAAUAAAUAAAAGAUUACAUUUUAAAUCAGAUUUUGCAAUUUUAAAUAUAAUGUCAUGUCCUUUAAAUGCUCCAACUACUUUUAAACAUUUGAUAAAUAAUAUAUUUUAUAGCUUUUUAGAUAUUAUUUUAUAUAUUUUUUAAAUAGCAUUUAUUAUUUUUAUUUAUUCUAAAAAUAUAGAAGAACAUAAAAAAAACAUGUUUGUUUUAUAACUUAAAAAAGUUAGAGAUGCAAGACUUUAUAACAAGAUUAAGAAAUUUAUAUUUUACACAACUUAGAUAGAAUUUUGGAAUAUAUUAUUUUAAAUUAUGGGUUUUACAAAAAUUCUAAAAAAAUAUAAAUUAUUGUGGAUUUAAAAAUCUUAAGAUUUAUAUGUGAUGGCUAAUGAUUUUUAAAUAAAUUAAAUUAUAAUUGAAAACUUAUAAACAUAAAAGUAUAAAUAAAAAUAAAAAAGAAUAAAUAGGUAGAAGUAAUAAUUCAAGAUUUAACAACAACUUUUGUUUUAAUUCUUAUUUUAUAUUGGCUUGAUUUUUCAAAGAUAUUUUUUCAUAAAAAAAAAUUACAUACUUUCUAUUAAAAGAAAAUCUAUCACAAAUAAAUGUAGAUAAUAGGCCUUAUACUAUUAUAUUUAAUUUAAAAAAUAUUUCAAUAUCCAAAAUUAAUUAUAAGAUCUUUGACAAAGAACUUCUUUUUAUUAUAGAUUCAUUCUAAGAAUGGCAUCAAUACCAAAAAAAUACUUUUUAUUUAAUUAUAAUUUAUACCAAUUAUAAAUUACUUAAGUAUUUCAUAUCAAUAUAUAUCUUAAAUAUUUUUCAAGUCUAUUGAAAAAAAAAUAUUAAGAUUUAUAUUUAAUAUUAUAUAUUUUCUUUAAAAAAAUAAGUAUUAUUAAAUACUUUAUUUAGAUAAUCUUAUCUAAUACUAAAAAGAAAUUUUGCAUAUAACAAAUAACUAAAUAUUCUUUUAAAACUAAAUAAAUUGUACCUUUUUAUCAUUUAAUGAAUAAUUUUACUUGAUACUAAUUUUUUUGAUAACUUUUAUUCAAAUAUAUUAAGAAUUAUUCUUAUUAUGAUAUUAAAAAAAAUCUUAAUAAUUAUUCUAAGAAAUUUGAGUUCAAAGAAAACUUUUUCAUUAUGAAAAAUAUUUAUAUAUUCCUAAAGGACAAGCAUAAUUAUAUAUACUACAAUCACAACAUAACUUUCUAAUAGUAAGACAUUUUGGAUGUAAUAAUAUCUUGAAACUUAUAUGAAGAGAUUUUUGGUGGCAUCAAAUAAAGGAAGAAGUGUUACAUUUAUUUUUUACCUAAUAUAGUUAUGUAGAUAGAAUAAAAACCUAAUGUAGGUAGAUAUUCUACAACAAUGAUCAUAUAGAAAUCUUCAACUUCUAUUGAUUUCAAAGCAACUUUGAUCUUUUAUUUCUAUGGACUUUAUUAUAAAUAUAUUAUUUUUAAAUUCUUAUGAUUUUAUUUUAUAAUGAUCAUUUAUUUAACCAAAAGGUCUAUUUUUUAUUUUGUAUAAAGGCUAUUAUAAGAAAAAAAAUUAAUCAAACUUAUUUCUAAUAAUAUAUAUCAAUAUUAAAAAAAAUUUAAGUGAUACUUUAUCUAAUUGAAGACUCUAAUUUGAAUCAAGAUGUUGGAAGACAGCUUUUACUAUAUCAAAUAUUAAAAUGAAGUUGUUAUCAAUUUUUUUAUUCUCAAAUUGAUCUACAAAAUAAAUAUAUAAAUUAAAUAUUGAAGUAGAAUUUAUAAUAUACUAUCAAUUAUUCCCAGGAUAAUUAGACAAUAUUUUGACCAUUAAUAGGAUUUUUAUAUAAUAAUAAAAUAUAUUAUUCAAUUCAAUAUAUUUUUAUUUUUUACCUAAUAUAGUUAUGAUUUAUAAUUUAAUACUUUUAACUUUUGAUAAAUUAAAAAUAUAUUAUUUAAAAUAUAAGAUGGUAAAACUUUACAUAAUUAUUAAAAUAUAAUUAAAAUAGGCCUAAAUAUAAUAAAAUUUUAAUAUAUAUAUAUAUAUAUAUAUAUAUAUAUAUAUUUAGAAAAAAAUCUAUAUUUAAAAUUAUCAAUAAAGUAUAAUUAUCUUGUUAUAAUAUCAAGACCAAUUGACCUUGUAAAAAUUUGAAUUAUCAAAGGCUUGGAAUAUUUAUUAUUAAUAAGAAAAAAAAUCUAGUUGCAUAAUAAUUAAAAUUACCACAAUCAAUAAAGGUCUAUUAUGCAUUAUUUACAUCUUUAAUUGAAUCUUCUAUUACAAUCAACAUACUGGAAAAAAAAACAAUUAUCACUAUAUCUUGUUGAAAAUCCUAGCAACUUAGAGUUUGAAAUUAAAGAUAUCUUUAUUCAAAGCUACACCAAAAUAAAUUAGAAUAUCUUGUAUAUUGAUGUAGAUAUAAUAUUAUUGAAUGAAUACUAGAACCUUUGAAGAAACUUGAAAAUAUGUUAAAACUUAUUGUUACUUUUUAUAGAUAAAAUCCAUCAAAAUUAAAGAUUAACUAUAAAAAAUAUAAUAAUAUAAAUUAAAAAUUGACUUGUAUAAUAUCUUUACAACAUAGAAAAUCAAGAAUUAUCAUAUACAUUCUAUGAAGUUUUAUUUACAAAAUUGUGAGAAAAAAUACUUAAAUUAUCUAAUAUAAAAAUAUUAUAGAAUAAACAUAACUUAUAAGUUAAAUCUUUAUAUGAUUGCAUUUAAAUCUUAAACCUUAAAAUAUCUAGACUCCAAAAAAUAAUUAUGGCAUAUUAGAUUAAUUUCUAUUAUAUGAAAACAUCAAAAAUCUAGAUGUUAGAUUAUCUUAUUAAAAUAGAGGAAAUUUUUAUAUUGCCCAUUUAAAAAAAAAAAACUUUUAUUUCUUAUUCUACAAAUUUUCAUAAAAAAAUAUCAAUUAUACCUUAAAUAAUUUUCAUAGAAGGUAGAAUGCAAUCUUUUCCAAACCAAUUGAUUUGUAGUACUUGAUGAGUUGUGUAUAAAAAUAUUUUUUUUUAUAUAAUAAGAUAAAUUUAUUUAUAAAUAUAAAAUAAUCUAAAUCUACCAUAAUCUAACUUGUCACAAAGAUAAAUGGUCUGAUAUUACUACAAAGUAUUCAUACCUUGUUUCUUACAUGAAAUUGAGGCUACUUCUUGAAAUAGAAAUUUACAUUGUUCUUUCUUCAUUCUUAAGCUUCUUUUAAUUAUACCUUAAUUAUUAUAUAUAGCUUUGAUAAAUAAUUUGGCAAAUCUUUUAAUACAUUAUUAUCAACUUUUAAAAAGUCAAAAAUAUCAAAUUUUGGAUAAUAAUCAUAAUUGGUAAAGUAAUAUAUUUUUUAAGUAGAAGAAUAUAUUAUAUUAUUAUAAGAAAAUUAUAUUAAUAAUAAAAAAUUAUCUAAUCAAUUUAAUGGUACUUGAUGAUAUAUCUCAAAUAGUACUUCAAAAUUUAAUUCACUCAUUUUAUUUUUCCAUUGAGUUUUAAAUGAAAAACAAAAAUAUUUUUAUAUCCACUUUCAAUAUCUUAAAGAAGAUUCUUCAAAAUCUUGAUACAAAUUAUAUCCUUCUAUUUAAUAUAAUAUCUUUCAGCAAUAUUAUCAAAAAAAAAAAAAAAAAAAAAAAAAAAAAAAAUGUUUCUUUCUCUAAGAUAGAUUUUGUACAUAAUACAAAAUGUGCCAUCUUGGUGAAAUAAUCUACUAUCACAAAUAUAUAAACACAAAAACUUGAAAGCUUUGAAAUGAAUUCACAAUUGUAAGAAGUUCCUUGUUAUAGAUCUUAUAGUUCAUCUUAGUUGUUGAAAAAUACAUGAAAUGAAAAGCUAUAAGAUAAUUUUUUUCAUUUGCUUCCAUUUCUGACAAUACUGCACCAAAGGUAAAGUUUGAUGUAUGUGUUUCCAUAAAAGAAUACCUUAAAGAAGUUGACAUGAUACAAGUUUGUUGUAAAAAUAAGUAUUAUCUUCAAAGCUUCAAAUAAUACUCAACUUCUUUAUUCUAUUUUUUUUUUUAUAAAUCAAAUGUGUAAGAAGAGUUACAACUUCAAAAAACAUUGGAUGAAGAUUUGAUAGUGAUUGGCAAAUCCUAAAAAAUAUUGCACAUCUCUUAUUAUUCUUAAAAUCUUCAAAUUCAUGGUAGUUUAGACCUUUUUAAGAUCCAUCAUAUAACUAUUAUUAGAAAUGAUACAUCUUAAAAAGUCAACUUUAAUAUUGUGAAAUGUACACUUUUCUAUCUUCGUAUAUAAUCUCAUAUCUCUAAGUUUUUGUAAUACACAAUAAACAUGAAUUUUAUGUUCUUUUUUAUUCUUAGAGUAGAUGAAAUAUUGCUUAAAUAAUACAUAAAAAAAUUAUUAAAAAUUUUACAAAAAAACAUCUUUCAUUAAAUGUCGAAAAGCAGUUGAUACAUUUGUGAGUCUAAAAGAUAUGAUAUUAUAUUUGAAAUGUCCAUAAAUAGUUCAAAAAGAAAUCUUCUAUUCAUUUUAUUUUUUUAUACAAACCAUGUUAUAUGUUCUUUAUAGAUCUUUGUUUAAUUGAAUUAAUAAAGAAGUCUUAAAAUGAAAGCUAAAUAAUACAUAUUUUUGAUAGUAAUCUUAUUGAAUUCUUGAUAGUCAAUACACAUUCAUAGAGACUUAUCUUACUUCUUUACAAAUAAGAUAGAAGUUCUUGCUGAAAAUUUAAAACAGUAAUUGAAGUUUUUAGCUAAGUUCUUAUUAAUAUAUUCUUUGAGUGCAGCCAAUUUGUUUUGUAAUAAGUCAUAAAUUAGUUUGAAUGAUGUUUAAAUUCUUUCUUAAGGAUUAAUUAAACAAUCAUAGGGAUAAUAUUUUAAAAGAAUAUUUAUAUUUUUUCUCUCAAAAAUAUCUUAAUAAUCUUGAUAAUAAUUAAAAAUGCUACUUGAAAUUCUUCUACUAUCAAAAUUGAAUGAAGCAUAUAUAACAAAAGGUGGCUUUUUUUUUUGCAACAUGUAUAAAAGCUCUUACAUCUAUUAAUAAGAAUUUAGUUGUUUUUGACUUAUGACUUUUUACUUGAAAAAAAGAAUUUUAGAUUAAAUUAUAAGAAAAAUCAAGGUUACAAAAAAUCUAAUCUAUUUAGGGAUUAUACUUCUUUGGCUAUAAUAAUCCUAAAAUGACUAAACUAGAUAGAGAUUUAAUCACAUUAAAUAUUACUUAGCUAUUAUUAUCAUUAAUUAUUAUAUCUAAAGAAAUAGUUUUAUGAGUUAUAUUUCUAAAAAAUAACAAAUAACCAUCUAUGAUUUUUAUAUUUAAAAUUUUAAUUUUCUUGACUAAAAAUAUUUAUUUUUUUUUCCAAAUAUAUAUUUAUAAAACAAAUUGAGGCUCUUAAAUUUAAUAAGGAAAAAACUUUGUAAUUGUUUGGUUAUAAAUAAACUUCUACUAUGAAACAAGGUAAAAAAUCUAUAGAAAAAAAAAUAAAACUUCUAUUAGGUUUUACAUAAGAUUUUAAUUUAAUCAAAAAUAAAUAAAAAAUUAAAAAAUUACCCAUAAUUUCUAUUAUAGCUAAAAAAAAAUUGUUUUUUAAUAUAUUAUCUUCUUUAGAAAUCAUACUCUUCAUUUUUUAAUUAUGUUGUUUUUUUGGAUAAUAUUGAAUAAUAAAAUUAGAUUCUCUAUAAUAUAAGUACAAAAUUUCUUAACAACGUGUCAUAGAUAUAUAUUUACUUAAAUGAGAAGUAUUAGAUAUAAAAUAAAUGUAAAUAGAUUUGAUAUUAUCUUAUGGUAAAAGCUUUUCAAAAGCUUCAUAGACAUGAAUUUGACUUUAUAUAUUUUUUUAGUUAAUUAAUAGGUUAGAAACUUAGCCAACAAGCUAGCUACAUAUUACAUGUGUUGGUAGCAUGUGAUACAAGCUAACAAUAUAGCAUGCAUAUAGGAAAUUUGCCUUACAAGUUAAGACAUGUAUCUUACAUAGUCAAAAAUAUUGGAAAUUAUAUAGAACAUUGUCAUAUAUUUUUUAAUUAGAUAAUAUAUAUAGAAAUAAAGGUGAAGCCUAUUUUACUCUUCUUAACGUCUUUUUAGUCAUUAGUCUUAUUUCAAGACUUUUUAAUCUUUUUGUCUUUAGAAGUAGUCAUUAUAAUGUAAUAUCAUACCAUAUUUGAGUGAUUUUUUAGUCUUCUUGAAUGACAUAAGAAUAUAUUGAUCUUUUAGUUCUUUAAGAUUCAUGUCCUUGAUACAAUGUUAAGUUUUUUCUUGCUCAAUAAGAAAUUUGAUGCAUACUAUGUCAAUUUGCAUAGACUUUGGCCUUCAUAAAAAAGUUUUUGAAAACUUAGAAGUUGUUGCCAUAACUUGACAUAAACUUCUUUACCAAGCCUUUGUUCAAAAUAUCUUUUAAAGAAUCAAUUAUUGUAUAUAAUGGUUUAAGCAAUAAAUUAUUUCAAUGACUUUGUUUUUUGCAUUGUCAACAAGAAAUCUUUAACAUUAUCUUCUAAUUCAUAUCAAAAUUGAUUAAUAAGGACUUUGUCAUUCAUAUCUACAUCACAAGCAAGGUUUUGGAAUUCAAUAGCAUAUAUAAUGGUUAAAGAUGUUUCUUGUUGUAAAAAUAGGAGUUUGAAUUUUUUUAUACUUUUUUUAUUAUUUUUUCUAAAUAUAGACAUAUAUACUUCUAAGAAUGAAUAUAGAUCAUGAAAAAAUCAGAAAUCUUUUUCUAUCAAAAUUAUGAACCAAAAAAAAGUACUUCCAAAUAAAAAUACAUCUAUGAAUUCAACUUAAAUAAAUCCAUCAGGGUAAUAGAAAGAUUACAAUCUUAGAUAGAGCUUCUUUUGUUAUAAAAAUCUUUAAAACUUUGAUAUUGUUCUAUCAAACUUCUUUGACAUAUUUAUUCAUGUUUCUCCCAUACUUGUAGUAGUAAGAUUUUUUGAAUUCAAUUAUAAAUUUUAUCUAGUUACUUCUUUCAAAUACAUAAUUUUUUGGUAUUGACUUUGAAUUUUUUAUUGACUUCUUCCAUAAGCAUAAGAAUAAUAUAUCUAUGAUUGGCAUUAGAAAUACAUGAGAUUUCCUUCCAAAGAAUAUUGACAAGCUUAUGAAGAUCUUUCAUAGUUGCAAAUAUAUCCUCACUUUUAUUGAGAGUAGCAUCCAUAAUUUUUUCUUUCAUAGAAAAUUCAAACAAAUCCACAAGUUAUAUUUGAAAAAGAUAAUUUACAACCUCUAAUAUCAUAGUGACUCAAAAAACUAUUUCAAUGUUGAUAUAUUUUUAAAAUAAUAGUAUAAUAUAGAUGAAUUAUAGUGAAUAAUGCCACGUGGUUUGUACAAAAAAUAAAGUAUUCUUUUAUAGCUACCAAAAGAGUUUAGGUUGAAAAAAAUCCAUUAAGUAAUUGUAGAGCUAUGACCAAUUUAAUUUGAAGUAGUAUUGAAAUAAUUUUUUGAGUGUGGUGUCUAAUUUUUGGAUUCUAUCAAUUAAUCAAGUUUACAAUAUUCUAUCAUCAUCAGAUUUACUAUGAUAAUAUUAUUAAUAAUCUGAUGACAUCAUUAAUACUUACUAGUAGCUUUAAAAGUAUCAUUCUUAAUCACAAUUCUUGGCAUGGAUAUAUUCUAAAUUACCAAAUUUUAGAAUCUUUUAGAAUAUUCUAUAAAUUUUUAGAACCUUUUAGAUACUUAUAGAAUAUUUUAUAAUCUUUGAGGAAGUUCCAUAGGCUUCUAGAAGCUUCUUUAGACUUCUAAAAAUUUCUAUAGAAAGUACCAUAAACUUUUGUAACCUUUAUUAUAAUAUAAAUAGAAGUCUUUGGAACCACUUUUGCUAUCAAUCUCAUUCUUUGUCUUUAAUCUUAAUAUAUUUCUUUAUUAAAUUCUUGUGUCCUUGAAAAUUCUUUAAACAACUAUGAGACUUAUUCUUUGCUCUUUCCAAGUUAACAUCACCUCUGCUCUUCUUCAUUCUUAAAAAUCUCAUGGCCAAAUUUCUUUUAAAUUUACCUGUAGUAAAGUUAUUAUCUUUAGGCUAGCAAAAAAGAUCACUUUUAUUAGGAAGAAUCUUAAAUUAGGUAGACUGUAAUAGAAUAUAGACAAGAUAUUUGUAUUAUUGAUAUAUAGAGAUAAAUAGAUAGAACCAUGUUUGAAAAAUUAUGGAAGUUUUUAGAAUUGGAGUUAGGUUAGUAGAUGAAGUAGGAUCCACUUUGGAAUAUUUUAAAAAGAAUUUAGUGCAAUUAUCUAGAUGGACCUACCAUAGAACCUUCUAAAAAGAAUUUAAGGUGGUUAUUUAAGUGGAGUCCAUCAUCUAGGAAUAUUUUAGAAAAUCCAGGGUAGUAAAAUAAAGUAUAAAUAGGAUUGGCUAGGGCCUUUUGAGGCAUUUAGUCAAGUAUGGCUUUGGACCCUUUUUCUUAAUACAAUUGGAGUUUGUAUCUUCUUGUUUUGUUCUGAUUCUAAUUGCUCAAUUUUGUCUUCCGUGUCCCAUUCUAUUUACUUUUGUUUAGUUUUAUUUUAGUUUAGUUUGUCCUACCUUGUGAUGAAGUUUCAUGUUGUUAAAGAUUAGAAAGAUCUUAGAUAUUUGAGAUAAACCAAUCCUAUUAUGCAGACCAAAGAAAUUCAUUGUAAUAGAUGAAAUAGCAAUUAUUUACCAAAUCAACAUUGAGAAGGUUGAAAAUGCUAUUGACGUUGCUAAGAAUCUUAACAAUAUUAUCAAUAAUUAUGUGUCAAUCCAAAUUAUUUGAAAUAUUUAUAAGAAAUGGAAUAUGAAAGUUGUAGUGAAGAAGAAAAAGUCACUACUAUCUAUUUGUUAUUAAAAACAACACUUGGAUUUUGCUUUGAAGUAUAAGAAAUGGACUAUGGAAGAUUGGAAGAGAAUUAUUCAAAACAAAUAUUGAAGCAUAAUUCAAAAAAAAUAUUGAAGUAAUUUGAUUAUCAUGGAAUUAAAAUAAUAGAUUAUCAUGCUUAGUCUCUUGAUCUUAAUUCUAUUGAAUAUCUUUGACAAUACAUCAAAUAUUAGCUCAACAUUUGGAAGAUAAAAUCAAAUGGAUUUUGGAAAUUUUGAAAAAGAAUAUGUGUAAAAUGGAAUAAUAUUGAAGAAAUUUUAUGUCAAAAUUUAAUAAAAAGUAUGCCUAGGAGAUUGAAAGUAAUUAUCAAGGCCAAAAGAGAUCCUACAAAGUAUUAAUAUGUAAUUGAAUACCACACUCAAAAAAAUAUUUUAAUAUUAUUCCAAAUUGGAUUGGUCAUAGCUCCAAAAUUACUUGAUGGAUUCUUUUUAACUUGGGCUCAUUUGAUAGUUUUAAAAAAUUAUUUUAUUUUCCAUACAAACCAUGUAUCAUUAUUCACUACAAUUCAUCUGUAAUACACCAUUCUUUCCAAAACAUGUCAACAUUGAAUCAUUAUAAAUAAAUAAAAAAUAUAAAAAAGAGUGGUCCAUUCUUUUUAAAUAAAAAAAUCAAUGCUAAAAAGCUAAAAUAUUAGUUUAAAGGUGUAUAGAUUGUGACCUUCAAAAUACAAUAAUAGAAGUUAGAUAAUUUAAUUAUUUUUAGAACAAAAGAAAAAAAUGAGUUAGUUCUCUUAUCAAAUUGUCAAAGAUAUGAAUCACAAAAAAUAAAACCUCAAUAUUCUUUGAUGUUUCUCAGAAAGAAUAUAUAUUUAUUCAAAAUUAGUAUUAUAUUAAAAAUACAAUGGCUAUUAUUAAAGACAAAAAGACUAGAGUUUGUAGAAACAAGAUUAAAGACUAAAAAGGCAUUGAUAAGAAUGAAGAAGGCUUUACUCUUACUUCCAUAUAUAUAUAUAUAUAUAUAUAUAUAUAUAUAUAUAAUCUAACUUAGAGCUACAUAUUGACAUUAUAUAGGACCUCCAAUAUGUGUCUAACUUGCAAGACACAUGUCUAACUUAUAAUAGAAGUAUUCUUAUGUAUUACAAGUUACAAGUUGUAUUACAAGCUAUCAACAUGUACAAUGCAUGGCUAACUUAUUGGUCAAGUUUCUAACCUACCAAUCAACUACAAACACAUCUAGAGACAAAUUCACAUUUAUAAAACUUCUAAGAAGCAUUGCUACAAGUUAUUAUCAAAUACACCUAUAUUUAUCUUUUACCUAAUACUACUUAUCUAUAUAUAUAUAUAUAUAUAUAUAUAUAUAUCCAUGAUAAUUAAUAUUAUUUCAAUUUUUAUUAAUAAAAAUGAUACUAAUAAAAAAAUUAAAAUAAUUAACUUAUAUAAUUAUUUUAAUCAUUAUAAACAAUAUUGUAAAGAUUUUUUAAAACCUCAAAAAAUUAAGUAGAAUAAUCAAAGUAUAAAAAUAAGAUUAAAAUAGAAAAAAAAUCAAAUUAUUCCAUUCUUUGAGAAUAAUUUGAUAGUAGUAGAAUUGUUUGAAUAUUUUAUAUAACCUUUGAAAUAUUUAAUAAUUCAAUUGCUUCUAUUAUUGUAAAUAAUCUAAAACCAACAUUAAAUUCUAUUGGAGACUUUCAAAUAAUUAGAAAUAUAUAUGUCUUAUUUAUUGAUGAGUAGUGAUUGGUAUUUCUAGAAAUUGGAAAAGAUAAUAAGAACUUUACAAAGCACCAAGAGUAAGGUUCCAUGAGCCAAAAUGAUACAUUGAAUUAAAUUGAGGUCAUGAACAAGGACAUAAACUAGAUGAAGAGUAAGGUUCCAUGAGCCAAAAUGAUACAUUGAAUUAAAUUGAUGUCAUGAAUAAGGUGAUAAACUAGAUGAUAAAUAAGGUAAAAAAUUAGAUGAUAAAUAAGAUAAAAAAUUUAAUGACAAAUCAAAUGUCAAAUUGAAUGAUAAACAAAGUGAAAAACUAUCUAAUAAAUAAAGAAGCAAUUUUAAAUGUGAUCUUAGAUUUUAGACAUCACUCCAAUUAUUGAUUUGGAUUCAUUGUGCAAUUUUAGAUUAGUUAACAUUUGGUUAGGAUUUGGCCAUUGUUGUCACUAAUAGUUGGCCAAUUAUUAUUAAUUUCUUGUUUUACAAUGUGAGGGAGGUUUCAUGGAAAGAAGGGGGCUAGAAAUGGGAUUCUUGGAGAGCUAAUAUAAAGUAGGUACAUAGUAUCGAGCUUGGCUUCUAUCAACCACUUUGCCUUAUGACUGAAGACCACCAUAGCUUGAAGACCACCAUAGCUAAUGCACCAUAUAUCCAUAGCAUCUAUCCAUCUGCCAACCCUAUUGGCGCCAAUGGGUGGCAAUACUCUUACAAACAUUCCAAAAAGAAUUCAAAUCAUUUGAAAAUUUAAAGAUUAUUUUACACUUCAACAUCUCAAGGCUGAUAUUGUAGUCAUUUAGUUAGGUAAUAGGGAUUAGAAGAUAUGUAUUUAUUAAAAUUCAAAAAAAAAAACAGAAUAUGUAUAAUAUUAGAUAAAUAAUUAUAUUUUUAAUAAUAAAUUUAUAAAAUUUUAUUUAUGUAUAAAUUUAUAUUUUUUACUCAUUCCAUGUUAAUAUAUAUAUAUACAAGUAAAACUUAAAUAGGUGGUUGUAUGAUUGAUUCUCAAGAGCACAUUAUAUAUUUGUUUACAUCUGUUUAAAAUCUGUUGUAAUUUAAUUAUGUAUGUUUAAGGAAUGCAUUGAUGAAUUGCUUUUGAAUGGUACUUGUUUACAAAUCACAAUUUAUCAUUAUUUUUCUUUUCUUUUUUCUUUCAGAGAAGAUCUUCAAAUAAUUGCAAACUGUGGACAAUUUAUAUACUCCUAUAAAUAGAAUGAAAUAAACUUUACAAAAUGAUGAGUUGCAUAAGGUUUUUUAUCCAUGCAAAUGUAAAUGAUAUAUGAAAAUUUAUCAAAAGUUUGGAUGAAUCAUUGCUAAUGUAUUAAUAAUAUGAUACAUGAGAUGAUUUGCAUUGAAAAUUAUAUUUCUAAUGCACCUGAUUCUCAUAAAUUUGAAAACCUUCUAAAUUUAUACGUAUGGCUUAGCUUGAGAUCACUUCCCAUGAAAACCCUAGCAACAAUAAUCUAUACAUGCAAUCAAAAUUCUUAAAAAAAACUAAUUUUAAUUUACAAUCAUUCCAAAUUUCAAAAAUCACUGAUGACGUGAUUAUGUUAAUCCACAUCAAUGUAUGCACAUUUCUCGUAACUCUUUUACUUUUAAAACAAAAAUACUAAACCAUGGUCCACGAUUUCAAAUUCUAGGAAACACAAAGCAUUUAAUUAAACUUGAAAACAAUAAAUAUGUACAUAUAUAGUAUGUUGUUAAUUUUGUAAAGAUAGAUGUCAGCACCCUCCGAACCAACAGCUAGUUUGUUUUUUUCCCUUCUUGGAGCUGCUCUUCAGCUGCUUUUCGUUUGGGAACGCUAGGGGAACCGUUUCCACAGCUCCAAUGAGUGGGGGCUCAUGUCAAGUACCCACUCCACACGUAGCCUGCCACACUUUGUCAGACCACCCAUCGCCACCCCCAACAUGCGGCCUUCUGUGCCCUGCCAGUUUAACCUCUAACAGACUCCACCAUUUCACGACGCAGAAACAUAAUACACAUUAUAUAAUAUUAUUAUUAUUGUAUAUGUAUAUUGUAUUAUAUUCGUGUAUUGUAUUAUAUUAUAUACAUACGUCUGAAAAUGAAUACAUAUUAUAUAUUAUGCACAAACAUGUUAUGGAAUGCACCACCUCUCAAUUCAGAUGUAGAUAUAUAUAUAUAUAUAUAUAUAUAUAUCUCAAGCUAGUACUUUUGACCAAUUAUUUAAAUUUAUUUCUCUUAAAUUUAAUGGAAUAAGGAGAAAUAAUUUACCAUGAAUAUGUAUGUAUGUAUGGGCUUGUAUAUAUAAGUAUAUAUAUACAGACGUGUGUGUUGAUUCGUGUUGAGAUGAAACCUUAAAAUACAAUGUAAAAUAGAAUCUUGUGUUGUUAUAUGUGAGAUCAAUUUCUUGAUAUUUUUCAUUGCAUACAUGUAAAUGUUUUGAUGAAUACCAAUAAUAUAUUGGUAAAAUGCUUGAAUCGACCUUUCAUUGUUAAUUCCAUUUUUUUUUUUCUUUUCUUUUUGAAGUAGUACGUUUACUUUCCAUUUUUACAACUGCUAUUGGGUCCUCUUAAACUUGUGCGCUAUCACAGAGAAGACAUGAUCUUUAAAGCAUUCCAUAUUAUGUGGUUAAAAAUGGGUAUUUUAAUUGGAACAAUCGAAAACUGAAAAGAAAAGAGAGGCGAAAAUUUCCAUCUUCAUACAAACAAGUAAUUGAAAUCAUCCCGUCAUUAGUUUCCAGAGAUAUUUUAACAACGUUUUAGACAAAAGUAUAGCCUCACAAUACACUAAUGGAAUUAGAAUUGGCAGCGAGAUUGGUUACCAAGUUACAAACUGUUCGAUAAUUCCCCCAUUCAUUCCCACACACACUUCUAAUAAUUGGGUUUCCAAAUCAUUCAAAUAAGGUAAGAUUAUAAAAAGCAAUGGACCCGGGCAGCAUGGAAUUGGCACCGUGUGGAGGAGCCUCCAGAUUCUGGGUUGGAAACCGCCGUAUAUGGUGACGUCACCAACGACCACGAUAUUCGAAUAUUCCAUAUCAUUUUAAAAUGAUUGUGUUAUUAAAAGAUAUUUUCUUAAAAAAGAAAAGGAAACCUGGUGAGCGUGCAAAGUCAUAGGCAGCGAGAUGCUUCUGACGUGGCCGCCAAUGGGAAUCGAGUCUUUAAAGGAAGGAGGGAAAAAAGCAAUGUAUUUUAUGAUUGGGUCCACGUGGACGACUUGACCACGUAAGCAUUGACUAGGAUCUAUGUUGCUGAUGUGGAACUUUAUGAGUGGUGGACCUUGGGGGGUGGCCGUUGACAUCGACCUCCCCCCCGCCUUUGAGAGGCUGGACAAUAAUUCUGUCACGCUGCUUUGUCCGCUGCUGUACGUCAGUGUGAACGGGGCCCUCUAAUGCCCAAGGGUUGUUAUUUUCUACUUUUUUGCUCCACUUUUUAUUUAUUUAGUUUUUUGGUCUCCAAAUGAACGAGCAUUGGGAGUUGGAAUUGAAUAGAAAUGGGAAUUCUCCUUCUUGGCUGUCGUCAUGAAACACAUGUGUUGAGUUGUGUGAGAAAACAGAUACAAUACAUGGUGAGGGGAUUUUAUUGACAGGGUUCCUUAACACCUAGUAUUACACAUGUGAAGGUGAACACUAAAAUAUCUCUUGUUGAUCAAGUCCAUCUCCUUUUUAGAGGCUGUUUAUUUUUCUACUCUUUUAUUCUUAUUACAAUUGUUGUUCUGAAGACAUCUCUAAAUUAAUAUAAUGUUAGCAAAGUUGUGUACUCAUUCCAAUUAAAUGAAGUUGCUUUCAUAAACAUAUGUUGUAUUAUAUCCACUGAUAUACUUAAAAAUUGUGCAGGCUCAAUUGUUUAUAUAUAUAUAUAUAUAUAUAUAUAUUUGUUUUUUUUUUGUUUAUUUCUUUAUAUGUUAGUCUCUUGCAUGAGAUCUUCCUUUGUUGGUAAGUAAAGUAAUACAUACAUAACAAAUGACAAAACAAAAAGUACUAAUAUGGGAGUUCAUUGGAGAGAAAGAAUGCAAUGAAACAAAAUCUACCAUCAACUAAAAGAUGUCCAGUAAUAAUAUAUAUAUAUAUAUAUAUAUAUGUUUAUUGUCGUGCACUUUGUGAAAGUCUUCUUUAUAAUAUUCCAAGAAUAUUUUGACCUUGCACAUUAGGUGGUCUUUAGGCCUUAGGUGGAAAAGGCUAUCUGCAGCACAAUUAUGGGCCCCAAAAUAUGGCUUUAUCUACUGGAUUAUUUCUGAUGAUUAGGUUUUGAAGCAUAAGACAUGGGUAAUCAUACAUGAAUUAGUGUAGGGAAAUAAUUGAAGAUGCGUGGUGAGGCGGAAUCCGCAGCGCUUAGAAUGCUCGGGAUCGGGCCAGGCCGGGGGGGGGGGGGAGUGUGGUGCAACACCCAGCCUGGCCCGGCCCGAUCAUGCCCGACCCAGCUUGAUCAUAGGAAGGCGCAGGGUACGUUAUGUUCAACACUUCUCCCACCCGGACAUGCGUGGCGGAGCUUCAAAGCCAGAGAGCGGGGCGAAGGGGAGAGGACAGGGAUCGAUUCAUCGUUUUCAGAAGCGAACAAAUUAGUUCAGAUCCACGCAUUUCGCUGCACACUCUCACGUGUCUUUAGAUUAGACGCGAGACGAUUGUCGCGAAGCUCUAUUUGGUUCACGGUUGGAGGUUUUUCAGUGCGUGCGGUGUGCUCUUUGACCGUGUGAUUUGGCUCCCCUGUUUAAGGUCUCGAGGUGGAGGUGGAGUGAGGCUUCUGAUCUUAGAGGGCAUGAUUGCAUGCGGUAGCGAGAGUAUCUCGUUUGCGGCUACGUGAGUAGUGAGACUUUGAGUUAGGGAGUUUUGGAGAGGGCUGCGAGUCUUGGAUUGUGGAGCAGGUUGAGAGGACCUGCGAGAAAUGUAGGUUUGAAUUCAUCGUAUUGAUGUGUUAGAGUGUAGACUUGUUGAGAUUUUGUAAUAGUGCCAGCGACUUAGCAUUGUUGAUGCGCGUGAGUAGAAUCAGUGUGAGUGAGCUCACAUGUUCCAGAUCCGUGCCGUAGGCUUCACGAGAGUGUAGCAGCAUGAUCACAGUGGUCUCGCUCCUGAACACGGUUUCGCCGUGUGUGACUGGGCCAGCUCAUCUUUGUGCGCCCUCGCUUUGGACGUACAUUCUUUCAAUCGGCACUUAAUACGACGAAAGCUGCGUGUGUUGUGAAAUGACGAGUUGCAUUUCACCUGUUACUUCAGGAAAUCAAGGUCUAUUAGGUUAGAGUGAGCGCCUGAAUCGAUAAGGAAAGGACGAGUCCGAAAGUUGUCGGUACGCGGAGAUCGAUAGUUGUUUGUGGAUUGAAGAGUGGAUUUCGUUUCAUACGAUGACAGUCAACGGAAUCCUGCAUCCGGAGAGAUGCAUUUUAGUGACGGGCGGGGCAGGAUACAUUGGAACUCAUACAUCACUGCAGCUGUUGCUUGAUGGUUAUAAAGUUGUUAUCUUGGACAACCUUGUCAAUUCAUGCGAGGAAGCUGUCCGAAGGGUCGUGGAUCUGGCUGGCAAGCAAGGGAAAAAUCUUGUUUUUCACAAGGUCUGUAGCUUUAAAAUCCCGACCUUAAUUGUUACAUCAUUUUAUUUAUUUUAUUUUAUUUAUUUAUUUCCUGGAGCUUGACUGAUGUAAUUUCAAAGUCCUCGUUAGGUGUGUUCUGCGAUCAUCACUAUUGAUCUGAAAAUAUUCUUCAUUUAAGUAGCAGGUGAACAUAAAGUUGCCACAUGUAGACUGUGAAAUGUAGAAGGUUUUGUAUGUUUUUUUUUUCUAACUUGUCAAGGAAAAUUGCAUUCGCAAUUCAGAUCAUGCAGUCUUACAAUGAAAAACAGAUUAAGAUGUGUCCCGUCCGUAAUUUGGCUGUAGUCGUGAACGUUAGCAGGCAUUCUCUGAUAAAUUUUUGAAGAUGUGCAUACAGACUAGCAAUACCUUUCAGACGAAAGUUUUUGUGGGUUGCUGAUUUAGUAUUACGUACUCUCAAAGUAUAAUUUAAGCGACUUGACGUAGAAGUUGCCACGGCUUGCCCGUAAUUCCAUAUCUACCUGAGUACCUUGCACCUGAAGCAUCCGUGAAACUCGAUCGGCUAAACCAAUAGUGGGGUGAAUUUCGUUUUCUGAGUUAUAUCAAUCUUUGUCAAGCAGGAACCCCUUUAUAUAAUGACGUUACCAUUCCUAUGAGAAGUUGGAGUGCCUGUUGCCUGAAAUGAUCUUUCAUUGAGGCUAUUUUGCCAACGAACACAAUUAUACGCCUCAACCCCUGUGCGAAUAGUUGUUGCAAGGGAUGCUUAAAUACUCACUGUCGUAACAUCAAGCGGCUUUCAGCUUGGAGUGAAAUUUCCUGCUUGAUUUUUUUUUUUUUUUUUUUUUUUUUUUUUGAAUUUUAAAUCAACUACAUUUUUUUCUGAUAUGUGGCUAUGCAGGUGGAUCUUUGCGACAAGGUUGGCAUCCAAGCUGUUUUUGACCUGCACCGGUAUGUUGCGAAACUGCUCAUGGCUAAAAUAAUUUUACUUAGCAUCGUGGAUUUUCAUGUUUUCCUUGCAUGUGGAUAUGCAUGGUUAGUCAUGAAUUGUUUUAUGAAUCUGGCUUAUGAAUCACUACCAAAUUAUAACCAGGUUUUCCCGAUUCUUGCAGAUUUGAUGCUGUAAUCCAUUUUGCGGGUUUGAAGGCAGUUGGAGAGAGCUGUGCAAAACCUUUGCCCUACUACAUCAACAAUAUUCUUGGCACUUUGAACCUUCUGGAUGUUAUGAACACUCGUAAUUGCAAAAAGGUCUGAGGUGGCUAAAGUGCUGUCAGUUCUUUUGUGGUUGCGGAAUUAAUAAUGUUUUGUGAUGCCGUAUCUCAUUGUGUUGGAUGCGUGUGUUACCAUCGUAAAGAAGUGAGUCAUAUGCCUUUAAUUUUGUCAUGUUGGGUGUGAUUAGUGAUUGUUACAUACAAUUUCUUCAUAACUAAUCGUGUCUCGUAUUUUAACAACCGAUUCCAUCAUUCCGUGUUCUUCCAGUUUAGCGCUUCAUUCAAUGAAUGUCAAUGACUCUUCAACAGCUUACAUUUCUAAUUGUGUUGUGAACUUUACACUUGUGUAUUGAAUGUGAUUCCCGUUUUUUUUUUUUUUUUUUUUCCUUUUCCAUUUAUCUGAUACAAGGUUUUUGCUUUUGUAGCUAGUGUUUUCAUCUUCUGCUACGGUAUAUGGACAACCGGAGAGCGUCCCGGUAACAGAGGAUUCCCGUCUAUUUGUUCUGAAUCCAUAUGGUCGUACCAAGCUUCAGGUCGAAGAGAUGAUGCGCGAUAUUACCGCUGCAGAUUCAGGUUGGAGAUGCAUAGUGUUACGAUACUUCAAUCCUGUGGGAGCUCACCCCAGUGGCCGCCUUGGAGAAGAUCCUCAGGGCUUUCCGAACAACUUGAUGCCCUUUGUGCAACAGGUGGCUGUGGGCAGAAGGAAAGAGCUGACUGUGUUCGGAACUGAUUACAAUACUAAGGAUGGGUCUGGGGUAUGUAUCGUUUUUUGCGCUCUAGAAUUUUAUUUUUCUCGCUUACGUUUAAUUCCUUCAUCAUUUGUGUUUAAUUUUUGUAUGUGUACUAAGAAGUGGUAUCACUCAAGAUGCUCGAAAAAUCACUCACUAUUGAGUUUUUCAGGUCCGUGAUUACAUUCACGUCCAGGACCUUGCUACUGGUCACAGUGCCGCCCUCCACAAGCUGUUUACGACGCCUGACAUAGGUAGUCUUAUUAUUUUUCUUAUUGUUUGGAUAAUCUUCUUCGUUUUUCAAUUCAUACCUGCUUGCAUGUGAUGUCCUAGUCUUCACCUGAAAACUAGAUGUGGAUGUACAGGUUGCACUGCUUACAACCUUGGAACAGGGAAAGGGACCUCUGUGCUGGAAAUAGUAGCCGCAUUCGAGAAGGCUGCGGGAUUGGUAAAUGCCGACUUUCUUGGUCUGGUGUUGGUGAAGUAUUUUUGACAUAAGAGCAGAUUUUCUGUAUGUUCGGUGUUCUAUGUAUUUCGGUUGUGCCUGGAUGUCACUAACCUAUCUCCGACCUGUUGCAACAGAAAAUUCCUCUGCGAAUUGCAGGCCGACGGCCUGGAGACUGCAGCGUAGUCUACACCGCUACAGACAAGGCAAGGAAAGAACUUGGAUGGAAGUAAGUUACUACCACUACUAUACUGGUUUGUACCGGUCAUUUAUUAGCAUGUACUACAUCUGAUUAGGUUCCUUUGCACGAGGAUUUUUUUGGUGCUUUAAUGGAUUGGAUUUCUCGUAUCAUAUGUUCCUUUUGGCUUUCUGAGAAUGUUUUUUUUGGAAUAAAUAUUGCAGAGCACUUAAUGGGAUUGACGAGAUGUGUCGAGAUCAAUGGAAGUGGGCAAGCAAUAAUCCAAAUGGCUAUCAACCAAAUCAAGAGCCUUCUGUUGAUUUCAAGCCUAUUGCAAAUGGGAAUGCCAUCUCACAUGACAAUCAUGAAACUGUUGUAAAAAAAGACACCCUUCCUUGAUGUCUUUGGGAGCUCUUGUUUACUACACUCGAGACGUUCUCGACUUCAGUGGUCUCCAUUUGCCACUUUCAUUUGCGAACAGGUCUUGGAAACGCACAGCUAGAGGUAGUAUCUUUUCAACCUCCUAUUCUUAAUCAAAUAGAAGAACAUAUAUAUAUAUAUAUAGUCAUAGAUGUGGAACAACAUUUAUAUUUAGAAAAAUUAAAAGGAUGUGACUUGGAUCGAGGAAUUGCCAGUCACAACGGAUGCGUGUUGAGGUAAAACGAUCUGGGAGGAUGGUAUUAGAUGCGAGGAUGUAUCCAUCUUCUCUUGGAUGCGAGUAGGUUUUAACGACUGAAUAGGUUGUGUAGUUUGAGGGUAAUAGUUGCAUACUACAUGGCCGUGUCACGAUUCAUUGUACAGGAUAAUUCUUUGGACUUGGCGGGGGAUUUCUAGGAGUUUCUUUGCCAGGCGAAAUCAAUGUCAAUAAUCAUUCAGCAGUUCUGCAGGUUUUGGACACGCAGUUCAGGACACUUGGUUCAACGAAGACUGGAAUUUCAUUAUGAAGCAUCAUAACUAUUCUUGCCCAAUUCACUGCGCUUGUGUAGCAACUGCUGUACACGGUUAACUUAAUGCCAUUGAUAAUUUUUCUGGAAACUGUUUCUCUAUUCAACUGGUAUUUGAUAGUACUGUAAUUUACUUUGCUGAAUCAGUAAUAACAUAUGCACCAGGAAAUUGUUGUGAUCGGCCACCUCUUCGUCUUUUUGAAAUUGCGCUCAUCUAACACGAUACCCUCUUCUACACUAAGUAAUAGUAGCACAAAUGUUUGCAGGAGAUGGAGUAUGUUUUUCUCUAACUGAUACAAUGGCCAUUUUCCAACUGUAGGAUUCUUCGAACAAAUCCUCAGACAAUAAUAAAGUAUUUACUUGAUUAAAAAAGCAAGGAACCCUGCUAUCAGGCAGAGGCCAACUGUUUCAUUGUAUCAUUGCUUCUGCGCUUUCUAUCACCGCAGUGGGGUUCCCAACACUUUCACCGCCGACUCGUUUUCCUGCUUACUCCUCCCCACAGCAGCACCACAGACCAUGUUACUCACAACACUGAUCUAGAUUACUCUGAAUGGAAUCCACAUAAUAGUAGCAAUAAAAAUUUGAGAAGAGAAGCAAACAUACACCAUGUCAGGAAUACGAAAAUAUGAAUACCUUUAGACGAAGAGCUCUUCAACCUCAGUUUAGCACGCUUCUUCAUGAGAAAGGCUCUCCGCAAUUCAGGUAGCUUUGGCUGUAAUGAUCCUUGGUUACCUCCACCUGAUCAGAAAUUGCACUCGUCAGAGAAGGAGAGCACAGUAAGCUCGAGAAGAUUGAAAUCACGUGGACUACAUGUUCGUAGGUACAUUCUUGUGUUUGAAUAGUGAACAACCCAUCCCCAUCAAUACUCUUGAUUAUACAAAACUGCUAUCGUGGUUUCAGCGGAUAGAGGUCACACCUUCUUCAUCAAUAGCCAUCAUCUCAAUAUCAUGCAUCGUGACCAAACCAGACUGUAGAGCCUCUUUCUGUGCCUGCAAUAGUCAAACAAAAAGUGCAGAACAUAGCAGGAAUCAAUUUAUGAAACACCUCAACCUUAGCUCCAUGAUCAUACACGUGAGGCAUUAAACUAAUAAUUCACAGAUUACACAAAUAUUUGUCGAAUUGUGAUAAACAGCCAAAUGAACAGCCCUAUUUCAGGUCAUCUGAUAGAAUGGUCACACAGAUAACAACCUUCGCUUUGACGUGACGAAAAAUAAUAUGAUCUAUUCCACUGGUGCGAACCCUGAUACCGGUAUGACCGAAACCAACCUGGUGAAUAAAUUGAUCAAUAAUAAUAGGUUCAAUCUGCUAAGGGUUUGCAUUCUAAUUCUGAGUCACAUAUCCACAGUAGGGUCUCACAAGGCUGUGAAGCACCUAUAUUUGUACUCAGGUAGAUUUGAAAAUGACGAAGCAGAAUUCAUAAUUUAGCAAUGGAUCGACAGAAAUUGAACAGCCCAUUACCUGCCGCCAUCGCUUCUGAAGCUUGCGUGCCUUCUUCCCAGAAAUGCUCGCGAGGGCCUUCCCGGAGGACACCCUCAACGUCGCAGCGCUGGAUCUACGUUUCCGUUUCUCCGCCCGCUUGGCCCGCCUCUCCUUCUGAAUGUUUCGCCGCGGCAAAUUGAACUUGUUCAUCUCGCCAACACCCAAUCCUCCCAAAUUUGGUCGAGGUAGCAAAUUCGAGAGCGGCUGGAGCGGAAGCAAUUCGAGACCCAAGCGCAGGAGUCCGGAGUAACGCGACCUUUCCUUCAAGAAACGGACCCUUACCCGUGUUUCAACACCUACGACCGUGUCUCUUCCGCUCUCACCCGCAUUGGUAUUACCGCCCGAACAGACCCAACGGAUGUCAUCUAUCUGUGGUGCAUUUUGCUGGCUCCACGUCCAUCCACGCAGUGAAAAACUCAUCUUGAAUGAUCGCACAAGAUCAGCUCUCCAAUGGAGUUUUUCCUAUCAGAGGAUUAAUUUUUUUAUAAAUAAUUAAUCUUAAUUAUAAUUUUAUCAAAAUUUCUUUAAAUAAAAUUAACUCUAUUAAUACUUUAUAUCAUUAUUUUCCGAACAUAUUAAUUUAAAAACAAAGUAAUCUCCUUUGUAGAUGUUCUUAUGAAUAAUAAACAUACAAUAAUUUAUUCAUUUUGCAACAUAUUUUGUUUGGAAUAAAUAAAUAUCUCUCCUUACAAAAUUUUCAUUAUUUAUACAAAUGGUAAAUUUUAUAUUGACUGCAUGUUAGAGUAAAAUUACCAGCACAAAUAUUUUUUCUAACUAUAAAUAACAUAUGAGGAGAAGAAAACAAAUGACCGCCACUUUACAUAAUCAACACGAGUUUUUUUUUUAAUAAAGAUUAGACGAAUGAAAUCCGAGGAAGAGUGAGGAUGAUAUGACGGUUCAUCCAUCCAAAUGUGGGCAAAGUGUUUCUUCGCCGCCCUGCUAGAGUGUAUUUUGCUGCUUGCUUGCUUGCACGAGGCAUUGUCGAGUCUAUAAUCUACACACAUUUUGGAGAGAUAAUUUCACGACGCUGUGAAAGGAUCGCACAAUGGCGCGCUCUGUUGCAACUCUUGUGAGAAAAUCUCGUUUUUUUUUUUUUUUUUUUUUUUUUUUCUUUCGUGUAUUGAUUCACCGCAUUUUUCCGAGUUUUUUUGUUACUUGUUUGGAGGAUAUAGUUCGGGGAAAAUUCUUAAGGGUUUAGGAUGCAAUGAGUAGGCUUUGUGUGUUAGAAGUCUUCUUAAGGAGUUAGGUGAUGGAGUCGCGGUGCGGUGAUGAAAGCCAAUGAUUUAAGGUUUAGGGGUUUGGAGGAAAUUAGAAGAUUUCCACAAAUUUUGUGGUGAUUAUUCAUUGUGUGCAUCCCCGUUAUGCACAAUCAUUUUUCUCUUCUUCUUUUCGAUUGGGAUGGUUUUUUAAUUCAAUUUUAUGCUCGUUUCGCUAUUCCCUCAGUUAGGACACAAGAAUUGAAGUAAACCGAGUAAUGAAUGUUUGAGUCUUGUAGUGUGUUUUAGAGCAGUCGAUCACCGUUCUUGCUCACUUACCGAUUGCUUGAUUGUGCAUGGUUGAUGCAGCGCAACCUCAUUGCCCAGACGUCAUUGCAAAGAUACAAGUUGGCGAGUUUGAGCCCUGUGUCUGAGAGCGUGCAGAGGCAAGCUCUUGGUUUCUCCUCCAUCUUGUUCGGAGCCGGCUCUCAGCAGUUGCGUAGUGCGUCAGAACCCACGAAUUUUCAGCGGGCUACUACCAGAGCCAUGCAGGUGUCUUGCUCAUACUGAUCCAGUUGUCCCGAUUUUCAACAUUAUUCGUUUGUCCAGGUUAAUCAUCUAAAAUCUAUAGAAAAUAUGUAAGUGCUUGUUCGUUCGUUAAUUAACGAGUACAAUGAUUGGCAGAGUGGUCAAGACACAGAAGUCAAGACACAGGCGAAGGUUACAACCAAAUGUUAUUUUGAUAUUACUAUUGGCAAUAAACCUGCUGGGCGUGUUGUCUUGGGCCUUUUCGGAGAGGAUGUUCCUAUAACAGUCAAGAACUUCCAGCAACUUUGCACAGGUUUGAACUACUUAUAUGAAGGAAUAAUGAGGGUGAUAGUGGUAGCGUGUCUGAAUACCCUUGCUAUUUGAUUUUUGGUAAAUACCUUUAUCGUUUUUCUAAGUGACAGUAUAAGAUGUGUUAGACAUAUCUUAACUCAGUCUUUUUCAUACAGGUGAGAAGGGCUUUGGUUUCAAAGGUUCAGCUUUCCAUCGUGUCAUCAAGAACUUCAUGAUUCAGGGAGGUGACUUCGACAGGGGCAAUGUACAUACUUCAACUCUUCUACUUUGGUUGCUGUCUACAUGCAUAUCUUACCAUGUAUCAGUUUAUGUUGUUCAUUGAGCCUGUAGUUAUUGUAACUCGACAAAGCAGGUCUUCGUAUUCUUCCCAUUAGCUUUAGGAUGGCAUUGAAAGUUUCAACUCAAAUUGUAUGAAAAUUGUAGAAUACAAUAAGUUAGAUGUCUUUCCAUCUAGUGAAUCAUGAGAGCAUACGUGAUUUACGUCAAUACAAACCUGUACAGGGUACUGGAGGCAAGAGCAUUUAUGGAAGAACCUUCAGGGAUGAAAACUUCAAGUGUGAGUGUAACCUGUACCUUGCAUGUGGAUAUUUCAUCUCUGAAUCCUUAACAUUUCGGCCAGCUGAUUUGAUAUGGCCCCUUGUACACAUCGAAAAUAAAUUCAAUCCGAUUUCUCUACUACCAUUCACUUUUAGAGGUGUUUUGUUCCCCACCAAUCAUGUGUUAAUACGAGUGUGCAAGUGAGUGGUUCUUGUUUCAUGGGCUUAUGUGCGUUAUUGUCUGGGUAUGUAGUGAGACAUACUGGCCCCGGAAUCUUGAGCAUGGCGAAUGCUGGUCCUCACACUAACGGAAGCCAGUUUUUCAUUUGCACUGUUGAGGUAAGAAUUCUUGGUUUAUUAUGGCUUGUUACCUGCUUAGGUGAAUCAGGUUAUUUGUUUUGUAUAUAUACUCUUUUUCAUUUAUUUAUUUAUUUUUACUAUUAUCAUUUUAUAAUAUAACAUUUAAUCACUGGGAUCUAAAAUACGACUCUUAUACUGCAGACUCCAUGGUUGAACAACAAGCAUGUAGUGUUCGGUCAAGUCAUAGAAGGUUUGGAUGUCGUGAGGACGAUUGAGAACCAAGACACAGAUCAUAAUGACAAGCCAAGGCAAGCAUGUGUUAUUGCUGAUUCAGGCGAGCUUUAGAUUUGUAGAUUUGCUUCAGAACCAAAAGAUGAUAUGAGUUAUCAGUCGGCCGCAUUAUUUUCGUACUAGUCACAUUGGCACUUCUCGUAUUCCGGAAUUUAGAUGAAUGUCAAGAGAGACUAUCUAACUGAACAAUAAGUAGGCUUUUUAAGUGCUGAGGUCAGAGUUAGCUAAGUUCCUUUUGUAGCCCAGUCUCAAGCAAUGUAUAAUUGUUCGGCACUUGACUAUAAUAUUAACUUUGGUUAUUGCAAUACGUUUUUGUUCUUCAACUACCUAAUUUGAUCCUAUUGACCUUUUCAUCAACUUAUACGCUAUUUUCUGGAACUUUGGUGUUAAUUGGUAUCAAUGAAUGUGAAUUCAAUUAGAUUGUGAUUAAUCCACCUCUAAUAUUUAGUGAAAAAUUUAUUUUAUAAUAGCAUGAUUAUCUAGAACAUUUUAUUUUAACAUCUUCAAUGCAUUUUCGUACGUAUUAAUGACUGUAAAGAAAAAGGACAGGAAUGCAUCGACUGUCAUUUUCAGACCUAGUAAUGACUGUAAAGAAAAAUAGGAAAAUGCUGGAUAGUAGUGACGUGUCCACACCAGAACGCUUCAACUCUCACCAACUGUGAAACAUGAGAAGGAUUUUCAAAACUGUCCCCAAGAAGUGUCCGCCAGGGUUACUAUGACUUGUGAUGGCAACAUCACCCUGUUAUGAUUCAAGCGAAGCCGUCUCUUCGUCAUGCGUGCGCAAGAUGAGUCUGUGCUCUCUGCGAAAAAGGACUUUGACGUACUGCUUCCUAUCUCUACGAUUUUCCUUGUGUAAACCGUAGCAUUACCAUAAUUCUCUAUCUCGGAAACAUAAAAAUCUUCCCAAAAAAUUAGCAACCUAGAGAGAUAACAUUUCAGCUCGGUAACUCACGUUCUCCGGCAUACUUCGGCUAGCAAUUGCGCUACGCAGCUGCGACUUAUUUUCUGGAACAGUGGUAGCUCUUGGCCUCACUUCGAAAGCUGUAUUAGGUAGCGCACGAGGAUGCCACCGACGAGCACUAAAUCGACGAUUCAACAGAGGCUGGAUUUUGAUGGCUGUAAAUAGGGUUCUGAAUCAUAUUCUGCCGUGGAAGAUAGAGGCGAGUCGGAGUCAGGGUCGUUCCCUUAUUUUCAGCAGUAUGCAGAUUGAUGACUAGCUACCUCACCUCAUUUGACGUCAUUCGACGGUCCAAAAUCAGCUUGGUACAUGUCAUCGUCCUGGACCUUCCGAAAGGUGAAAUGGUGUACUUUUUAUUCAAGCCCAUUACCUUUUUUAUUCAAAAAAAUUAGCACUAAAUUAACCACAAGGCUUCUGUAAGCCAGGAAUUCAUAUAAUACGAACCUACAACUUCUAGACGCUUUGUAAGCGGACACGGUUCAAAACCGCAAAAAUGAAAUUAUAGGCUUGGGACUUAACGCUUGGAAAUAAAAGACGCCACUGUCAAAUCGGUUAACGCUGUUACAAACAUCCCAAGCAUCACGAAACACAACACUCGCUAAAAUUAGAAAGAAAAAACAAACAAACAAACAAAUAAGUAAACAAACAUCCAAUGAAAGUAGAAAGCUAAAACUGAUAAGACUUGAUAAGGUUCGUCAGAAGGUGGUGUUCAAUAACACCAUUUUUACGUGCGAUGCGAAGGUCUGGCACGUCGACCUAGCCUCCAAAACCAUAGAGAGUUCUGCCCUGACGCUUCAGGGCAUAAACCACAUCCAUAGCCGUCACGGUCUUGCGCCGAGCAUGCUCGGUAUAUGUUACAGCAUCUCUAAUCACGUUCUCAAGAAAGAUCUUAAGCACGCCCCGAGUCUCUUCAUAGAUCAGACCACUGAUGCGCUUCACGCCUCCUCUUCUUGCUAAGCGCCUGAUGGCAGGCUUAGUGAUCCCCUGAAUGUUAUCGCGCAAUACCUUACGAUGGCGCUUGGCGCCGCCCUUGCCCAGUCCCUUCCCACCCUUGCCGCGACCAGACAUGGUGGCAAGAAACCUCUACUAACCAAAGGCAAACUCCUAUAUGUCGACUGAAGCUCUCUACCGCACAAAGUUACAAAGCUAAAUCGCAACGACACAAUGCUGAAACUGGGGGGAGGUGGAAGAUUAAAUAAGAGGAGGGAAGUUCAAAUUCUGAAGAGAUAGAAAUCUAUUUGGCGCCCAAACUUGAAAUUCCCGCCAGAUUCAAAAUCUUCAAAAGUGUACAUUCCAGGAUCAGACCAUUUCGUAGAUUCCCUGAUCCCUCGAACGAAUGCCAGCUUGUCAUGAGUCAUCAGCUUCUGAAAUAAUACUUUAAAUUAUUUAUGUUUAUGAGUUUUAUAUUCUUUUUUGUUUAUAUUAAAAUAAUAUAAAUAUAUGUAAUUUCCAUUCUAGUUUCCAAUAUGUAUGUGGGAAUAUUUGAAUUUCCGUUAUUCUUGGAUAUACAAUAAAAUAAAAUAAAAUUGUCUUGCAAAUCAUGCAAUGACAGUAAUGUUUUUGAAUAUUCAUGAAGGAAAAAAUAAAUAUAAAUAAAUAAAUAAAUUAUUUGUUCUGUUCCGCCAAAAAAUACGGCGCCCAAAAUAAUUAGCUGUUGUAAGCAAUACUCUUGUUCUGUUUUAAAGACAGUUAGAAAUUAAAAGGUGAAACAUGAAUAAACAUGGAUAGUUUUAAAAAUAGUAGUUAUAAUAUAUAUUUUUUAUAAAUUGCGAUGAUUUUUAUUUGUAACAUUUAAAUUAUUCAAAAUAAAUAACAUUCCUGGUUUUGAAUUUGUACUUGUUGGUUAUAUUUCCUUUAUAUGUGCAUACACACAUCAGUAUUAACUUUCAAACACAAGAAUACCAUUUGAUUUGAGAUUUUGCAUGUUGUGUGCCUAAUGGUAUCAUGUUUGCUGUAAUGGGAUAUAUUUUAAUAUAAUAUAGCUCAAUGUCAGUCCUUAAUUUGACAAUCAUGUUCAAAGAAACUUGCAGUUUUUUCUUUUGUUAACAUGAUAAUGUAUAUCAAAGAUAAAUAUUUUAAGUGUUCAUUGAGAUUAAAGAAUCACACCCAUGUAUUGGCUAACAUUUUAUUAUAAAUAAUUAAAGCAUGAAUGGCCGAUUUUGGUCACAGAAGAAUGAACAUGGUGAUUUGAAUGUAUGAUGUGUAAAUAUACAAAUCAAAAUGUUAGAUACUCUCAAUGUGUAAAAUUCAUGUGAACAAAUAUAUAUCUAUAAAACUUAUAUCUAUAUAUCUAUAUAUAUACAUAUAUAUAUAUAACUUUACAUACAUAGGUAAUUGCACAUGAUGUGGUGACCAAUCUUUUGUGAAAACUACUUGUGAUACAAAAAAAAUACAAAUAAUUUAUUAUAGUAAUGAUUCAAAUGUUGCAUUUUUAAAAAAAAAAAAUCACUGCAAAAACAAAUUUUAUAUUUUUUCGUGUUUUUUCUAUUUUUUCUUAACAGUACGAGAUAAAAGAACCAAACCAUAUUUUAGCUAUAAAUAUUGAUGUGGAAUUGUAAAUUAGCAAGUACAAUAGAUUGUACUCCAAUCAUUAUAUCUAAAUGAAUUACUUAAUCAUGAUAAUUUUAAAGUAAAGAUGUUUUAUAAAUUCUCUGUGUUGUUAAAAUAUAGUUUAAAGUACAUGUUUGGGUUUUUGAUUCCAAAAAAAAGUAAAAGUUGUUAAGUGCAUCUAUCAACUCCUUCACUUGCUCACACAAUUUUUUACAUUGACAAUGCCUUUGUUCUCAUGUUCAUAUAAAGCUUGCAGUCAUGGUUUUCAGUAACUUUCUACUUCAGCCAUUUCAGAAAGCUUCAUACAGAAGCUCUUUACCAAUUGUUUUUUCACUUCAAUGAAUAAUAAUGAACUUUUUGACAGAGAUCCACUACAAAAUUUCAUUUCAUGAAAUAUAAAAUCUAGAAUAAAUUACAUAUAUAAUUUAAAUUGGUAUAUAUAUAUAUAUAUAUAUAUAUAGGUAGGGAGUUGUUAAAGUCACAUCCCAAUAAAGCUGCACCCUCUCUUGCCACCUCAUGAUUCAUUUUGUACUUGUCUUUUGUCACUGAUCCCAUUUCCAACCCAACCCCAUCCUGUCCCCAGCUUGUCCUGACCACUAUAAAGUUAUUUAAACAAAUAAAAUGAUGAAUGAGUUAAGUAAUAGACCAAAAAGAUUAUUGUGCAUUAAUAGUAGUUGUGAUGAAAAAAAUUGAAAGAUAUAGAGUAAGCAAUGAUGAUAAUCAUAUUAAUUUUACCAAGAGAAAAUGAAGUAUGUAGUUAUUUUUAAUGGAAAACUUAUUUGCUAUACAUUUCAAAAUAAAACUUCUAAAUCAAACUUUGAAAAAUUAAUUGUAACUUAUUUAAUAUUCUAAUUUAUUUUUACAAUUUUUCUCAAUUUUAAUGUAGCCACUCUUUGAAAAAAAUCAUGCAAUUGUAUUUAAAAACAAAAAAAAAACAAAAUAUUAGAUCAUUUGUAUUUAUUUUAUGAGUUAAUAUUGUAUAUAAAAUUUUAAUAUUUAGAUUAGAAAAAAAUAAUAAUCUGAUUAAAAGCAUAUAAUUGUUAAUAAUCUUUUUGGUAUAUUGUACGACUUAAUCAUUAUUUUAUUUGUUCAAAAAACUUUAUGGAGGUAGAGAUGGGGUGAAGGUCGGAAUAGGAGUUGGGAAUGGAUAUAGAAUGAAUCAUGAGGUGGCAAAGGAAGUG
rnacentral:lncRNA from 1 species